AUGGGUAUAUCUUCAACAGAUGUUAGAAUUCCAUUGUCACAUACAAUUUCAUAAGUAAUGGGUUAUAAUUGCCACCACCUAAAGAAAAAGUGCUAAGCUGCCAAGCACUCUGUUUGUUUAUGUCUUCAAUUUUUUUUAAUAUUUGUUAAUGUGAUUAUGUUGUUGGUAAUCAAUUGAUCAUUGGAAACAACAAAAAUACAUUAUUCAAAAAUGCCUAUGAAUUUACUAGCUUUACUGUUUAUUUUUUAAAAAUUUUCUUGGCAACAUAUUGUCAUGCGAUUGUUCAAUGAAGAAGAUGGGGUAGUUUAGUCCAUGAGAUAUCCUGAUCAGCAAAUUUAAAGUCUCAUCUUUUACAAGUUUAUUCAUACUUCUGUUUUCACUUUUUUAUUCUAGAAGCAAAUGAUAAUUCUCAUUGUGAUAUCCAAUCUCUAGGAUCUUGGAAGGCUGAUAUCUUUACAAUCUCGGGAUAAGCAGAUGUUUACAUGGGGGUUAUAUGCUUUUGUUUUUAAAGUGAGGAAGCCUUAUGGUGAUCCUGUAUGUUAUGAAUGCUUUCAAGGAAGGAGGGUUUGCAGAUUGUUUGCAAGUAACAAGUUAUGAGGAAAUUAAAUCCUUAAGCUAUGCUCUGUCAUAGAGCAAGGAGUUUUAUGUUAAUCGACUUUAAGCUCCUUGACAACUGGAUUAACAAAAUAAGACAGCCAAGUUGCACCUGCAUUCUUUUAUAUGAUCGACGCGUGGGGGAGUUCAGAUUCUGUUCGGCAAAGCUAAGGAUAGAGAUACUGUUGGAGUAUCGAAACUAGAACUUCUUUAAAACUAAAAUUGGGGGAAUAGAAUGUGGUUGCAAUCAGUAGAAGGGGAGCCAUGGAGAACUUUCAUAGCCUUUGGUAAAGAAUCUGUUAUUGUAAUGUUUGAAUUUAUUAUUACUACUCAAAAGAAAAAUACUGAGAAAGAUUAGGAAAUAUGCUAAUUAAAUUUAAAAUAGAUGUAAGCUUCCUGCUGACAUUGUAAGCUUCAUGUAGUUAGUCUGCAUGCAGUCACCUAGACUAGGGGUUAAAUACUUAGUUAUAAAAUGCAUUAGAUAUCUUGUUGAAACACAUGCAGAAUUUUUUUUUGAUGAAAAUGAUUUGUUGCACGUAGGAUGUUAGGAAUAUAUUUCAGCUUUUGAGUCUUUUGGUGUUUACAAGAAUUGUUUUGAAUGGGGAUUCACCAUGGUCCAUUGUUUGAUCUAGUUGAAUUAAAAGAGAUAUUUUAGUUGAAUACUCAUGUGAAGUGCUGGUAAAUUGCUGCCUUGAUGGUGACUUUAAAGGUACAUGGAAAAAUGGUAAAGGGCAGUCUAAAGCAUGGGAAGCUUGUUGGAAUUAUUCAGGAUAUAUCUUUGGUUUUAUUAGUACUAGCAUGUGGGAGCGCGCAAUGCACGUUUAGUAGAAACAUAGCUUAGAUAAAAAUAAUAAACAAUAUUAAAUAGCUAAAAUAAAAAAUCAAAAAUGGACGAUAAAGAUUGGAGGUGGAUAAAGUUGUUAGAGCGGGAGAUAAAGAUAGAGGGGAAAUAAGUUUGUUGGAGAGUAGUUAGGAUAGAGAGAGAGGGAUUUAAGGCGUUAGAGAGAUCCCAUUGGAUAAAGGAUGAUGCGUGUGGGCUUAGUUUAAGUAUAUGCAUGUUUUUUGUUUCCAAAAGUACUUAUGUCGACUAUUAUCAUGUAAUAAAGUUUUGUUUAUGAAUAAUAUCCAAUCAUGGACAAAUUUGACAAAAGCAAGGGAUCUCCAAUGCUUUUUUAAGUAUAGUGUAGAAUAAUGCCUUAAAGUUGUUUGAUGCCUGCAUAUUUUGCUACUAUUUGCUCAUACAUGAGGUGCUGAUUCCCUGUUGUUUCUCACUGUAGUUUUUUUUAGUUAAUUUGCAUUUACUUUCGAAAUUUACCUCAAUACUAACAAAUGUGUCUACUACCCUUUUCAGAAGGAGCUAGCAAACUAUCUUUAUCAUAGCCUCCUCUCUAUACCUAAUGUGCACAUCUAUGGUCCUGCUCCUUCAGAAACUGUCCAUCGUGCUGCUCUUUGUUCAUUUAAUGUCGAGAAUAUUCAUCCAACAGAUAUUGCUACUAUUCUUGAUAAACAGGUAGAGAAAUAAUGCUUUUGGAUUAAUAAGAAAGUGUUCUUUGUUCUUUCUUUAUUUGGUUUCAAAUGACUAUUGUUUAUAUGAAGAUUCUUAAGUUUCUAAGAUUUCCCUCUAAAUCUUUAUCUAUGUACAUGUAUAUAUAGAAGGGAGGCUACUUUAUUUAGGGCUGGCAGUCUAUCCAUUGGGUUGUGUUGACCUCAUAUAUCAAGAUCUGGAAGGCGUGUCCUAAAUCUGAUCUAACCCACCAAUGGGUUAGGAAUGCCUGAACCGAACCUGACCCAUAGACAGCCCACAACCAACCUACUGACCUGUUUAAGGCCCAACUCAUUUAGUUUUGAGCUUUAUAUUAAAUGGAUAGAUUGUUUUUUUCAUAGUUGUAGACCAUCUAUGCUAGAACUCGUCUCUCCUUUUAGUUUUAAGCCAUCAGAUCAAUGGUUCAAUGGCUCAUAUAUUGACUAAAUUUUUAAAAUAUAUAAGUAUGAAUAUAAUAUAAAUAUUUUUAAAAAUUGUACAAUAUAAAUAACUCCCCUUUAUGACCCGAUAGGUUGAGGGGCCUUUGACCUAAACAUGACCCGACUCAACUUGCUGGCUAGUUAGGAUUGGGACCUAUACUCAACCUGUGAAUCUGACAGGUUGAGUUAGGCAGGUAGGUUCUGGGUCGAGUCAAAAAGUUGCCAUCGUUAAUUAUAUUCUUGGUAGGAGUAAAGUUUCAAUGAUGUAGUAUAUCAGUCAUGGGUACUUUAAUUUGAGAAUUGACAUAGCUGAUAAUGAUAAAAACUAGUGAAAUGCUUAAAAAAAAGGAGUAUGUGAUUAGAAAGCUCUUUCAUAUAUGCAUCAGGUGGCUCAAAAUGGAUAGUAGCUUCAAAUUUGCCAGACUGACCUAUACCAAGCAUUCCGUACUAGUAUGGUAUUGAGGUUGGUUAGGUAUGAGCAAAAUUGAUCCAAAACAAGCAAAACUACUUCCUAGUCUCAUUUGUACCAACAUGUAUCACCCAAUUUUGGGUGGUAUAUGGCCGAACAUCAAAAAAUGCUAUGUUGUUGGUAUAAUGUGCACACUAUAUCAACUGUACUGUACCAACCAUAUGGUAGCCGAUAUCAGUAUAGUGAACUUUGGGUAGCAUUGUGGCUAUUGAGCUAAGAUGAAUGAUAAGACAAGUUCUGACUUUAAAUGUUGAAUAUGAUUUGCACUUCUUAAAAUAAGUAUGGACUAAGAUUCAAUAGGUUUGAGUGCUUGAAGCAAUAUAUUCCAAAGAAUGUUGUAUUUUGGCAAUAAAAUUAGUUAUUUUUUGGAUCGCUUAACCCAUGAAUAAGAGACCUCUAAAGCAUAUGAUUUUUAGUGUUAGAAUUUUAAAUGUUGAUCAUGGCUGAGAAUGUCGAUCCUUAAUUUUAAAUACCUACUAUUGAUUUUGCAUCGUUGAACCGAUUAAAGUGACCUAUUGGUGAUUUUAGUGGCUUUACAUAAUAUAAAAAAGAGUUUUUUCAUCUGGGAUCAAUUAUUUUGGUAUUUGUUCAUCCUUCUUUGGGAUAUGGUGAUCGACUGUAGAUUAUAGCGAAUGUAGCUGACUAGGUUAAAGAGGAAGUCUUAAGUUGAAGAAAUGGAGUUGCUAUCUGGCAAUUGAAGAUUGUUAAGGCACUGUGGAUGAUGAGAGGGAAAUAAUAGGAACAAAAGAAAAAAAGUCCUCUAGUCUAUGGAUUGGAGGGUGAUCAAGAACCAAAUUGUGCAUUGGGUAGGUAUUAGGUUGCUCCUAAUCUAUUGACUAGAGAAUGAGUACAAGCCUCAUUGUGCAGUGGGUAGGUAUUCAGCACUCAAUGACUCGCUAAUUAUGGUCUUGAAGGUUUUUGAUGACAACGAAAACCAAAAAAAAUGAAACAUAAAAUCAAAUUAGAUAUGACAUUGGAAAGUGAGAGUGGAAAAGGAGAUAGAAAGAAUUAACUGAAAAUGUGAGGAUAUUUCCAAGGACCUGCCUUUUUCUCCUCAAUGUCUCCCCCUCUUUCCUUGGUAUCAAGUUUGGAACCAACUUGGCAUAGGGUAGGGUAUUCAUAUUUAUACAUGUAGAUAGGCCUUGAGUUUGGGUUGGCUAAGGAUGUGUUUGGAUAGGAAAUUUAUUAGGUAUGGAAUUUUAGCGGAGUAAAUGGUUACGGUGUAGGGCCUACGCUGGUUUUUAAGGUUCUGGGUUUGGAAAUUGGAAAAGUAUGUUCAAGGGUGGGUGGUGAAGGAUUAGACAACUCUAUGGCUUUGACAUGAUGUCUACCAGCUAUUGGAUGGCUAAGUUUUUUAGGUAUUGGAGAUGAAAAGCUCUCACUUGCUUCCCCACUUUUCUGCCUAAGAAAUGGGGUAUCAAUAAUCGUAGGAAUGGUUUAGGUGGCAUGUAGGUUGACCAUAGGUGGCUAUUGGGUGGCUUCACAUUUGGUGACAUUUGGUUUGGAAAUUGGAAAAGUAUGCUCAAGGGUGGGUGGCGAAGGAUUAGACAACUCUAUGGCUUUGACAUGAUAUCUACCGUCUAUUGGAUGGCUAAGUUUUUUUAAGUAUUGGAUAUGAAAAGCUCUCACUUGCUUCCUCCCUUUUCUGCCUAAGAAGCGGGGUAUCAAUAAUCGUAGGAAUAGUUUCGGCGGCAUGUAGGUUGACCAUAGGUGGCUAUUGGGUGGCUUCACAUUUGGUGACAUUCAAUUGGCUAAGGAUUAUUUUAAUUGAAAAUGAAUACUUACACCAUAUUGUGCUUGAGUUGAUGGGCUUACUAGGGUUGGGUCGUUGGAUUUACUUUGUAGGCUUAGUUCUUGGAUUGAGAAAAUUUGGCUUGGCUACUUGGGUUGAGCUAGGUUUGAGCUUGUUUGGUUUGGUUUUGAUUAGGUUAUGGUUUAGAUUUGUUAAAUCAGAGGGUCUUAGGUUAAUUAGGUUUUGUUCUUAGGUUUUAUGUAUAUAGAUUUAGAUGUGGUUUGGCUAAUUAGGGUGGGUUUGUUAAUUAGGGAAGGUUUUGAUCAUGGUAUGCCGUACCGGUUCGAAUCAGGCUGUACGGGACAUAUUGUACCAUACUGAUUCGGUACCAGUAUCUAGUACGCCAAAAAAAUUUCGUACCAUACCGUAUUGAUAUUGUGCUAGUGUGACACUGAUACGGAGUCCGAUAUCGAGACAGCGAACCUAGGUUUUGAUUAAUUAUGUUUUUUCUUUUUAGGGCUUGCAAUUAUGUAUGAAGAAAAAACUUCUUAACAUUUUCACCUUCCAUGUAUAGCCAAAUAGACUUACUGCACUAGGUUGUCUUUCUGAGAUAUUCUACUCCUAGAUGUGUGUAUUGUAGUUUGUUUUUAUCUUGAUACAGUUUAAACAAUUAUUUAAAUGUUUAACCCUUGGUUCCUUUAUGGGUAUGGUCAGCAUAUAAUGAAAAUUAGUAUGUGCUUUUGCUUUAGAAUUAUGAGAAGGUCAAAUUUCAAGCAUAAAAGAUGUCCAAAAUUAUAUGAUAGCACAUAAUUUGGUAAAAAAGAGGAAAAAUAUUGUUGAACUCUUGAGGUUCAGCUUAUAUGUGUAAAUUCUAUUGUUGAAUGUUGAAAAUGUAAACUAGAAAAGUUGGAGGUUAUUUUGUUUUCCAAUUUAAUUUUGUUUGGCUGCAUUUGUUGGUGAUUUGUUAGCAGUAAUCGUUGCAAACUAUUUUAUCAAAACAUAUUAGAUUCCUGUCUAAUAUCAUGUGAUAAUCUGGUCAAAUCUAUUUGCUUAUAUAAUUUCUCUGAUGGUCAACUACCUAUUUCUCUUAGCACGGAGUGGCUAUUCGAUCGGGACAUCAUUGCGCCCAACCGCUGCACCGUUCCUUGAGUAUUAGUGCGAGUGCACGUGCUAGCCUUUACUACUACAACACCAAGAAAGAGAUUGAUGUCUUUAUUCGAGCACUCAAAGAUACUAUUGACUUCUUCACUUCCUUCCAGUAAGUUACCCUACAUUUUUUCUCCUGUCAUGGUUGUGGCAAUUAAUGUAUACUAAAUAAUUUUGUAAAAGAGCCUAGAUAAUUUAUAAUGGAAAUUUCAUUAUUAGAAUUAGUGUACUAUUCAUGAGAAUGAAUCUUUUAGUUGGUGGCAAAAUAUUUGAUGCUUGCUACAAAGUGGGAGAGAAGCUUGAGGGACCGUGAGUGAAUGGCUGAGCUCGGGCAGAACCAUACCUGAGAGUGGGUGUGCCAUCUGAAGGAGAAGAUUCCAGCUGCUGAAGCAAGGUUGCCUAUUCUAUUAUUAACAAGGGUGCUCAUAUCUUUGUGGGAAAUCUCUUCGUUUUAUUAUGCUUUUGCAAAGGGAAUGGCAUGGAUGGUUUUGUCGUUCAGAAAAAUGCCAUUAUUUCUUUUGGUGCUAAAUUAAUGCAUGCUGCCGCCCUUAGGUGUCCUGUUGAAGGCAAACCGGCACCUGCAACAUAUGCAUUUAUGGUAGGUUGAUAUAUGAAACCAUAGCCCGUUCUCUGUAAUUAGGCUGUAAAUGGUCACCCGGAGUGCAUGUUUCUAGCCAAGUUUGGUUCCACGACAUACCAUUUCUUUGAACUUACGCAAUGUGCAUGGAGACAAAGGUGUUUGAUAAGGGAUAGAUUCUGAUUGGAUUGGGUUGCAUCAUGACAAAGCUCAAUGAAAUGUUAUUCCAUGAGUUUGUUGCCCACUUGAUUUGGAAGGUAGCUAUUGUUGUGUUCUGAAAUCUGAUUUUUGACUGUAGAGAGUUACUUAUUGAUAAAGGUUUGUGAGGAACUCUCCUAGUGAGAAAUAAUAUUCUGUCAUUUCUCAUGACUUACAAUAAAUAUGCUUUACAAAGUCGAGUAAUAUUUUGGGCUUUUAUUGCAUGUGGUUUGGACGAAAUUGCUAUUCUCAUUUAACUGAAGAUAUCCACCUGAAUUUGAUCAUUAUAUGUAUUUACAACUACUUUCCUGUGGUUUGACACACUGCUUGUGGGGUCGCAUCCUAAAGAAUAUUUUCACUGGAACUUUCCCGAUGAUCUGUCAAUUAUGUCUUUUUCUUCCCUUUUGUUUUUCCACUCUUUUUCUUUUGCAAAUUGUCCAAGAUGGCGACUAAUCUUCUUAGGAUAUCUCUUAGCAGAUUUUGAGGCUUCAUUUCAUGUGUCACAUAAGUUGCAUUUCGAACUACCAAAUCUCUAAAACUAAUCACUCGUUUAUGUGUCAGGCAUAAAGCACCUUUACAUGGGGUAGGUUUGAGCCUGAUAAGUUUCAGUUUGUUGAGUUCGAGCAGACCUCAGCUCCAAAUUAAGCGACAUCGCCUUCCCCACCAUACCAAUAUCAAGCUCUCUGGAUUGCCAACCCAUAAUUUUUUUCCUGCAUUGCCAUCUUUUCUGAACGCAUACAUUCACCUAACUUGUCCUUUGGUCCAGUGGACAUUUACAGCAGUGCGCCCAAUACCCCCUUUCUUGUGAUUUCACUUUUGUCCGUUCAACUACCUCUGCAUCUCUCCAAACACUACACCUCUGUGCGCACAUGGUGACUCCCACCCAAAAGUCUGAAAAAUGCCUAAUAUUCUUGAAUGAUUUAAGACCAUCAAGCUGCAUAACUUUGCAGCCAAGGCCUGCAGCAAAGACACAAGGGCCAUAUAUUAUUGAUGAGGAACCUUAUCUUUCACUUGCUUGUGUGAUGAUGAAACCCCACAAACCUGGGUUUAAUGCAAACACUUAAUGAACUCAUAUGAUCCCAAUUUGCCCAUGCACAUCUCCCCUCCCACAUCUUUUUCGUCAGAUUAUGCUCUACGCAGGAUAACCAUUUGCUAGUUGUGUUCUCAUUCUACCUCUUUCAAUUAUCGUUUUCGAUCCUCUUUCUUCAUUUUUCUGCAGGGUCUCUGAAUAUCUUUUGUACAAAAUAAAUACUUGUCUUGUUUUAGGUGGGUCAUUUAGGUGGGACCAUACUUUUUUCAUUAACCUACNNNNNNNNNNNNNNNNNNNNNNNNNNNNNNNNNNNNNNNNNNNNNNNNNNNNNNNNNNNNNNNNNNNNNNNNNNNNNNNNNNNNNNNNNNNNNNNNNNNNNNNNNNNNNNNNNNNNNNNNNNNNNNNNNNNNNNNNNNNNNNNNNNNNNNNNNNNNNNNNNNNNNNNNNNNNNNNNNNNNNNNNNNNNNNNNNNNNNNNNNNNNNNNNNNNNNNNNNNNNNNNNNNNNNNNNNNNNNNNNNNNNNNNNNNNNNNNNNNNNNNNNNNNNNNNNNNNNNNNNNNNNNNNNNNNNNNNNNNNNNNNNNNNNNNNNNNNNNNNNNNNNNNNNNNNNNNNNNNNNNNNNNNNNNNNNNNNNNNNNNNNNNNNNNNNNNNNNNNNNNNNNNNNNNNNNNNNNNNNNNNNNNNNNNNNNNNNNNNNNNNNNNNNNNNNNNNNNNNNNNNNNNNNNNNNNNNNNNNNNNNNNNNNNNNNNNNNNNNNNNNNNNNNNNNNNNNNNNNNNNNNNNNNNNNNNNNNNNNNNNNNNNNNNNNNNNNNNNNNNNNNNNNNNNNNNNNNNNNNNNNNNNNNNNNNNNNNNNNNNNNNNNNNNNNNNNNNNNNNNNNNNNNNNNNNNNNNNNNNNNNNNNNNNNNNNNNNNNNNNNNNNNNNNNNNNNNNNNNUCUCUCUCUCUCUCUCUCUCUCUCUUCUCUCUCUCUCUCUCUCUCUUAUUUCAUACUUUCUCCUCUUUUGGUUAGAAAGCAGAAAAAAAAUGUAAGAGAGACAAACCAAAGACGUAGUUCUCCCAGAUAAAAUCUUCGGAGUAAAGAACCGCAUAGGAUGCCACCCAAUCCGCAGUGCUAUUGGUCUCUCUGAAAACAUGGAUAGCCCGAAAGGUGGCACAUUCGUUUAAGAGUCGGCGAAUAUCGAGGAGUAGCCACAUCCCUCCAAAUGUCGGACUUUGCUUUGAUGCACGUCAUCUUCGUUUGUUUUUGCAAUUGAUUAGAAGUGACAAUUCUUUCUAUAAUUUCGUUCUAUACAUUUAUUAUUUAUUCCUUCCUUCACCAUAAUUUGAUAUAGUUUGAGUUACCAGUCCUUUCUGGCUUCCUCCUAUUUUCCUUCUGUUCUCUCUUAUUGAUGUUCCCAGUGCAUGUUCCUUAGCUGCACCUGCAUCUUUUGCGUGUGCUGCCAUUCUGAAUGGGGAAAGCUAUUGAAAAAUGUCCAGGUAAGGGUGCAUGCCUGCCUCUUUACAGUGUGGAGAGACAGUCAGUUGGUCAUCUCAUUACCUGAGAAAAAAGGCCAUCAAAUUUGAUAUCCACUGUGGAUUUCUGGAGGCAUUGAAGUAAGCAAGUCAUGUGCUUCUGGUGCAGCAAGUUACUUGUUGGGAAUUUAGAUUUAAUCAACACAGCUGAGUGCCGGCCCUACUCCCCACAUUCAAAACAUCCAGCUUCCAUAUUGGCUAUUUUAAAACAUCGCAAGUUCUCAAGUGUUUUCUAGAAGUAGCUACAUCUAUAAAACUUUCACUCACUACUGUAGAACCCAGUCUUCAGACCGCUACCAACCCAAGUCGAUUCGAAUUUGUCUACUUCAUACUUUCGUUCCUUGGAAAAGUAUCAGUAUAAUAAAAAAACUUGCAGAGACUCUUCAAUCUGUGCACUAAAGUACAAGAAAGAACUUGCAAUGUAUGGAACCAUUCCAAGAGCAGGAAAAAUUGAAGUUCGUGCACUUGGGCGUUUGCCAGUUCCUUUCAAGCUCUUAAAUCUGGCUGGUUGCUGCUGCUGCUGCGGCUCCCAUAGGGCAUUUUCCUUUCAGCAAAAGUCUAUGAUCAAUUCCUGAAAUUCUUGGGCAGGGGAAGAACUGUGCAUUGGACCCCAUCCACAUGACUUGCUUGGAGAGAGCGGUGGCUGUUCCGAUGGAGCAUGCCUGCUGCCUUCUGCCCGCCGGUCAGGACCACCUCAUCGACGGCCCUUCUUUGUCAGAAUUCAUGGGCCCUCAUCUCAAUUGACUUUAUGGUACGUUGCUUUAACUUUUCCCGGUCAUCUUAGAUCUCGUUGAUUCCAGCGAUUCGAUCGAUUCGCUCGUGGUCUAACGACUCUUCCAGGAGUGGUUGCCCCCCCCCCCCAAGUUGAUGCUUCUAUUAAUAUUAAUCAGCGAUUCGAGCUGCAUCUAAAAAGAUAUCUUUGAUCUCAGAUGAGGCCAUUGGUCGCAAGUUGGUAGCCAUUAAAACAAUUUGACUCUCAUUUCAUUGGAUGCUAUAGAUUUGUGAGACUUUCAACCAUUUGGAAGCCGGCUUCAAAAUCUUAUUUAUUUGUCUCCAUCACUCAUCACCCAUCUUAGUGGGGAUGUGGAGACCACGCUCUUGUUAUUUAUCUGAUGUGGGGUGCAACUUUGGGUGCCCCCUUAAAACAAAAAAAAGGCUGCAUGACAUAUGCCAUGAUGUGGUUGGUUAGUGUGACGGACGGCGGCAUAAAGCACAAAAAAUUAUACCUUAUAUGCGCCACGUGGCUGUGCAUCAGGUAAUUAUAGCCGGUUGUUUCUAUAGCAAUACAUUGAGAUUAGCGUUCAACGAAUCAGAUCAAAAAANNNNNNNNNNNNNNNNNNNNNNNNNNNNNNNNNNNNNNNNNNNNNNNNNNNNNNNNNNNNNNNNNNNNNNNNNNNNUAGGGGAUCUCUUUGGUACAAGUCGGGUCCUGCAGCAUUUUUGUUCUUUAUUUUUGGGACGACUCUGAUUUGCUGCCUUCGUGUCGGCAAAAGAGAAAUUAGCUCGUCUUUCCUCAGGAGAAAAAAAAAAAAGGCCCGUGUAGUGUGCGAGAGCUCGAGUAUUACGGCCAUCCUCGCGUCCUUUGCGGUGAACGGUCGGCGUAACGAGACAAUUUUCCGGCGGGGAAUGAUGGGCCCACCGAAUCUUUGGUGUCGGACCGCUGUCCGCUGGAUGCGGCGAUCUCGUUCGCCGGAGAGGCGUGCUUGAAUCGCCCUCUCUCUCUCCCACUCUCAGCACAAACGUCAGCAACCAUUUAUCCCUUAAACCCGUGGUGGCCACGUCCGCUUCAUAAAGUUUUAACCACGUAGUGCGAGGGGAAUCGUUCCCACUUUUUUCUCCGAGGAGCAGCUCUUCAUUAGUGCCGUUAAAUGGUUUCACACGAGAGUUGGCUUUCCCGUUUAUUCUAAAAGGUGAUUUGAACGAGUCAUGGCGUAACAUCCGUUGCAAUAAACGAACAUCACACAUGUUUUGGGAGGCUUGAACCGGAUUUAAAACAUGUGCAACGGGUUGGGCCGGAAGGGGUGGGAAAGCAUGCAAGUCCGUUACUCGAUGACCUCGACGACAUGCUGCUGGAGUCCAGUGUGUGUAAAGGUAUCUCAUAUCUGCCCAAAGCUGGUAGAUUGCGUUGUCGUGUGUGGAAUUACAAUUAUAAUUACAUUAGGAUGCUGCUUCCCAAACUUGCAACUCAUAUUAGGUCGUGAUAGCAUUUAAAUUGACCGUGGAGCUACAUCCUGAAGUGUUUUUGCACUUGCAGCAGAUAAAACAAAGAACUGUAACACAAUCAUAUGGCUUGGUUGUAUUUAAGACGUUCUGAUCCGUGCGGUCAACCGAAAAUAGCUCUAUCUGCAAUCAUCUGCGCGAUCAAUUGAAAACAACUCUGAUCUGGACAGAGAUUAGCGAAGGAGCUUAUGAAGAGAAAGCUCUUAAUACGUGUUUAGAGAAGGAGUCUAAUAGAUUAUUUAUAGUCUUCUUCAGGAACCAAACGUUACGGAUGGUUACAUCCAUAAAGAGUCACGCCCAUCAAAAUAAUUCUUCACUACUGCAAAAUUACCUUAAUGUCCUUAAGAUUAUCAGAAUUUACGAAAUUCAACAGAAGGUUCUAAUUAAACAGGAUCAGAAUUUAAUUAAACAUGAUCUAACAUUUUCAAGAUAUUUUGAUUGUAGUCCAGUCUUCCCGUUUUCUUAGGAUGGUGGCCGGUGGAAUAUGACAUGCAAACAUGCGAACUUAUCCUUUCCAAGUAAUGGAUUCAUGAGAACAUCGGGGUAUGGCGAUGCAAUCCGAUUUCCACUUGUCAGCCGUCCAUGUCGACGCUCGAAUGAUGUGGAGGCCACCCAAACCCGGCGGGUCCCAUGCAACCCACCCGACCACGAGGCGUACACCGCCUCGAAUCGAUCGUCUCCUGUGCCACCCUCUCCACCUCCCGUGCUGACAUCUUCCACCCCCAUUCCACGCAAAGCUCCUGACACGUGUCAGCUAGCCCUCCAUACAGCCACCGUUCAGAAUACCGGCCCCAAAACGAGCCUAUCAAAAUUUCAACGCUUUUCCAGCGUCACAGAUACUAUUAUCGUCUUGCAUUAACCUGCUCCGGACAGAGAUUACAUUGCUAAGCCACCAAAAGUACGAAAUUGUAUAAAUGGAAAAACAGACAUCCCAAACUUUUCCACGUCAAAGCGCGGGGGCUACGGAAAGCCCCGCCUUUCCCACUCUCACGAGUCAUCACUUCAGUCUAACACGAAAAGGCCACGCAUUAAAUUAGAAGGAUUUCCUUUAUAAUAAAAUAUUAAUGAUAGUACCAAACUGUAAAAAAAUCCCGCCACUCGCUCUAGCUAACAAAACUCGCAGUAACGCUCGGACAACUCGCGACGCAUCCAACGCUACAUGAUGACGAUUUUGCCCCCGGUGGGUCGGAUGGGAGGAGGAGGUGAAAUCGUCAUUUUAGGCAAAAAUGGAGCCGAGAUCUUAACGAACUUGGCUCUAGGAGAAAUCGUCGGCGUCCAACUCGCCGAAGUCCACUUCCAAGAAACGCGGUCGCGGCCAGUAGAACUCCGUUAGACAUAACGGCGGCUCGAAACUGAACCCGAACGCAUCUACGCCGCCGUCGCCGAGGCAGUCGAACGGCGUUUCUUCGCCGCCGUACCGGAGCACAGACGUCGGCGACGGGUGGGAGUCGUCGGAGGAGCCGCCGCUGCCGCCGCUCUUGCUCGGAGCCUCCUCCACGGCCACCGCCAAAUCUUCGGUCGCGGGGGCCAGCGAGGCCUUCUUGGCGGGGAAGUUGGUCACAGCCUUGGCCCCUUUCAGCCGGACGGCGGCGUUGUCGUACACGGUGGCGGCCUCCUCCGCCGUGUCGAAGGUCCCGAGCCACACCCGCUUCCUCUGCGUCGGGUCUCGGAUCUCCGCCGCCCAGCGGCCCCACGGCCGCCGCCGCACGCCGCGGAACCUCUUCUGCUCCCCCGCUCGCUCCGGCGCCUUCUCCGCCGGCUUCGGCGCCACCGCCGCCGCUCUCCGUCGGUGCGCCGCGCCCGCCGAGGCGGCGCCGGCCUCCGACGCGGCGGCCUCCAUCCGAAGCUCGAGGACGUGCCUCUUCACUCUCCUCCGCGCGGUCCGGCCGCCGAUCUCUUCAUCGCUCGACGACGAGUCGGUCGCAUCCGCAUCAGUGAAGCAAACCCUCACGACCCUCCGCUUUCUUGACUUCCCGUCGGCCUUCGCCGCCUGGACCGUCUUCCUCCUGGCCACCACGUGCUCGGAGAACUUCACGCCGGCCAUAUCGAGCCGCCGCCGGGCGACGUCCGCCGGAUUCAUCGCGAGAACUCCCAAAUCCGAAGCUCCACUAGUCGGGUAUCAUUCGAAGAAAAAGUUAAGAACCAGAAACGAAUCCAGGGGUUCCUAUUCUCCCAAAAGCUUCGAAAUUCUUCGAACCAAACAGAGAUAUACUCGAAGAAAUUCUUGACCGACUCCUUCCCCCCUUGCUCUCUUUCUGGCGGACAAAACCCCCAAAACCUUUCGAAGUACGGGAGAAAUCAAUCUCUGGUUAGGGUUUUAGCCAGGGUAUUUGCUGGAUCUAGGCGGGAAGGGGAGGGAGAGCGAGAGAGUGAGGGGGGGGGAGGGAGGAGGAGCGGGGGAAGAGUGGAAAAUGAGACCCAGAAGGAAAGCGGGCGAAUGGUUGGGUAGAAGGGAGAGGAGGGGUAUUUAAGAAAUAAGAUCGAGCCCCUUAAUCUUAUCGUCUCUUAAAUUUCCAAAAUACCCCAGUCUAGCUGUCCUGGGAACAUGAUUUGGAGAUAUUGCUAAUCUAUAUUUUUCCAAUUACUUCCGUAUUUAUCACCGAUCCAUCUCUCUUUAGUGUAUGCCGGAUUUCAUCGAAUGGACGGUCGAUAUCAGAUCUAGUAGCUGAACUAGAUUAGAUUCUGGCGAACGGUCGACUAGAUUGGAAACAUAAUACUCGUGUGAUGCCAGCUAAUGUAGUGUCGGAUAAUUGAUUACUCGAUUAAGGAUAUUUUUGUAAUUUUACAUGACGUACCCGGGACUUUUUCCCGCGUUUUAAGGUGCGGAGCGUAGCCGCCUCUGCACGUGGGACCAUCGGUUGGUUGCGGUCGUCGUCGCGCCAGGCCCACCACGGACUUAAAAUCCCAUCUCCCGAACUUUUUUAAUUUAUUCUAAUUCGUCACUUACUUCUCCUUCCCAGCCGUCCGAUUCGCUCGAUCGAGAAUCAGUGAACCGGGCUUUUAAUGCGAGUAUUCUGUGAACCGCAGGGAUAAUUUGGUUUAUGGAGUCCGUGGAUCGCUAGGCGUGUGCCACGUGGAAAUAUAUUCACGGCCUUCGAACGGAAAUUUUUCGGUAAAAGGAGCGCGAGAAUUCGACACGUUCGCAGGGAAAAAGCGGGUUCGGGGAUCUGAUGGGAAUGAUCCGUGCGCCUCGCGAUCCGAGCGCACGUGAUGACGUCCGUACUUGGGAGCAGGUGUGCGGCUGAUACAUGACCGGAGUCAUGUGGAGGCGACCCCGCCGUAUACGGGGGAAUCCUUUAUACAAAACGGUGGUGGACUCGCAUUUGACUGCCUCGGGCCGAUUAACAAUAAUUUCUUGCGACAAAGACUUUUCAAGCAUCUCGGUCUGUGGUCAAGUGUGAAAACAAUAACGACGUUCUUGUCCUUGCAGGGGGAAAUCAUACACCAUUCAUCCCUAUAGGCUCCAUAGAUCGAGCGCCUACCUAAAUAUAUAAUCAUAGAAACAAACAGUUGUAAUUAUCUGCAAGCACAGCUACAUUAGAUCGAGCCGAACAAAAUACAAGAUCAAAUAUAUAAUAGAUCAAAAAUUUAUAGACCCAAAUCCGUUCUAUUAUUAAAUGGCUCAAAUUUCAUGUUCAAACUUGUUUAUUUUAUAAAAUAAAUAAUCUAACUUAAUCUACGGUAUCUUGAAAUAAGUUAAAUGGGUUAAGCUGUUGAACAUUGCCACCCUUGCCUGCAAUGCAGGGUGUAAUUUCUUUAUGGGUUAGUCCUAGUUGACCUGGCCAGCAUUUGCUGUGGAUUUGGUAAUGAAGCUUCCUCAAUGGAUGGGAAUCUACCAUUAAUGAUAUAGAUGUAUCCCCUUGUUAAUUUAUACUGAUAGAUGAUGCUUUGGCUUUUCUUGGGCAUAAUAUCAUACACAAGCGAACAGAACGGCUGCACUGAAGAAAUAGAAUAGUAAUUACAGUGAUUGCAGAGGAACUACUGUGUGGACCUAGAAGAUGUGUUUGUCAACUGCUAGUAGAUCUUGCUGGAAGGGUAAUUUAUGGAGAUAUAAUUUAUUUUGCAAUAAGGUUGAGCAUGGAUUUUGACUUGAAUGAUGGAUUGAACAGCUAGGUGAUCACUAGGGAGAAUUUUCGUAAUCAUUAUAAUGUAAUGUUGGAACUUUUACUGUACUCAGGAAGAAGAAACGAAUUGCUGAUCUCUUUAAUCAGUAACUGAUAACUAUUUAGAACUUACAAUUAUGAUGAACGGCUUGACAAUCUUGAAUAAAAAAAUGGUCAGCAAAUUAGGAUGCGUGAAGUUGAUCCCAAAGAGCUGGGCUAUAGCUGGAUGAAUAAGAUAUUAUGAAAGGAAAAAAUCACUAACAAGUAUACCUUUUAUGUCAAUAAAAAGUACAUCAGCUAAGCUAACAGAAUGAUUUGACAUUAACUUGUGCAUUCAGAAUGCACUCAAUCGCAUGGUCAAGUAAAUAGGUCAUGUAGCUUGGAAGAUGAGUUGCUGCCCAGACUAGUUGGAUGUCACGUGCAUCUCACGUGCCAACUGAAACUAUAUCGAUGAAUUCUAUAUAUAAAUUUCUCAUUUGUUAUCAUAUUUAGUUUGAUGUCUCAAUACAUUUCGUGCAGCAUAUGAUGCCAUUAACAAAUAAAUGAGAGUUGAUGGUGCAUUAAAACUACUUGCUGAUCAAAAAAUUAUAAUUAAUUAUUGAUUCAUAUAUAAGGCUGUUAUUAACUCAGAUAUGGUGUAAUGGUUAAGCAAGUGCCAUUUUAUGUCAUUCAUGAGUUAAACUGUAAAUUCUAUUUGUUGAAGCUUAUACAAAAAGGAGAGCCGUCUCUUUAGUUAAAUUGUCUGAGAAAUUUAAAAAUUCAAAACCACAUGAAAGAAGCAAAAUAUAAGCAAUCUAGUUCUAAAAAUAAAAGAAGUUCUAUAUUGUCAGUUGUCAUACAUAAAUAGAUUUUUCGUAAUCAUCUGGUGUUUCUUUUAUAAUAGCUAAUAAAGGUCAUUUUGCUCCAUAUAAGGGUUAGAUACAGUAGAACAAGUAUUUAGAUCCCAUCGCCUUCCUAUUAUUUAGACUAUCAACCCAUCAGCGGACUCCCUUCAUGUUCACCAUAGAGGUGGCAUCUAGGGUGCGAAAGAAGAUUCAUCUUCCUUUGCACGAAUCCAUAAUUGGAUCAUCCAAUGCACAGAUCUCAAAACUACACAAUUUUGUCAUUCAUCUGUCUGCACAGAUCUCAAAGCAAUCGGUGGGGUGAUUGGAUGGUGGAUUUGCAUGAAGGAAGAUGAAACCACCACCCUACUCUUCAUCAUAUUUUCGAUGAUGCUCAUCCGAAUCUCACAAAUGAGGCCGUGAAGCAAACCAUUGAGCUUGAGUUCAAACACUUCCUCCUCGAGGUCAUUGCUUUUGGGGUCCCUCCAAAUGAUCAUCGUCUCCUUUAACCGUCUCAAUAGAUCCAUCCUGGUGCGACUUCGUCGGAUGCUAUUCGUCGCAUUCUUGGGUAGUAGACUAUGUGGCAGGCCAUAUAGCACGUGAUUGCCCAGGCUAAGCACCGGAAAAAAUGCCGGCGAGGGCAAGAAGAGUCGAUUUUUGGCAUAGCAAGUGCAAAGAUUACGAUCAGCACUACCGUUUGGUUCCAUAAAACCUCAGCAACCAUUUCAUGAAGAAAAUAAAGACCUAUCUAUGUUGACCCCUCAUGAAAGUUGAUAAUGCCGGGGUUACAUAUGCAAAAAUAAAAUCUUUAAUAUGGAAGCAACAAUUUGAAAUAAAAAUCAGUAUGCUUGACGCAUCAAUUCAACUUUUAAAAUUCAAAUUAAGUAGGAUUAGUGGCAAAAAUAUCAACCACAUGCGCACGUGUGUCCAUGAGUCCAAAACUCACCAAACCCAGCUAGGCCAUAAGCUAUUAAACUUCAUUAAAUACAAAUCGAGCGUCAUUAAAUCAUCCAAUAUGCAAUUAUUCAAAACCAUGAAAACAUAAGAAUUUGAAUCUUUUCCAAAAUUAUAAUAAAAUAAAGACGUCAGACAAUGAAAAAUAUUCCAACACUAAAUGGGCCUCACAGGGACAUUGCUUAGAACGAUGAAGUUUGAAAUUAUGGACUUCUCUUGGUCAAUUAAGUAUUAUUAUUAUGCUUUGGAUUUAGAAAAUGACAAGUCAUAGCAUUAGCAGGGCAUGCAGCGGCGAUAAUCUGACCCCAUGAAUAAUAUUCAUUACUCAUUUAGUCAUACACCUUCCUCUUUUAACCCCACAGGAGCUCUUAAUUAAUUAAUACCUUUUUCUAAAGGAUGAGGAGGCAUGAGUGGGUGUCUUGCCUUUAUGCCACUAUACAACAUCCAUGUGAUCCUUGUCCUUUUGGCUUGCUGGCUUCCUUGCUUUGAGUGGGAUUAAACAAAUCUAAUGAAGCGACAAUAGUCAACUGAAGUUAAUUUGGAGAACCUCCCUCUCUCUCUCUCUCUCUCUCUCUCUCUCUNNNNNNNNNNNNNNNNNNNNGUACCUCCUCCUCUCUCUCUCUCUCUCUCUCUCUCUCUCUCGUGAAUGAGUACAAUCCGUUUGGCUUCUUUUUGAUGAAUCUAAUCCGCUUCAUCAUUCUCGAGUCUUAUAAGCUAAUCUUGGGCAUUGGAUCUCACUAAAAUAUCAUGAUAGCGGGUGGUAUUUGGAAUAUUGGCACUAAGCUACUCAGAUAUCUGGCACGUGUAUUGCCACGAUGCAUAGCACCUGAGAGUGGAUUAUGAGUUCUGCAAGAGUUGAUCGUUUUCUAAAUUAUUGAAAAAAAUCAUCAAUUAUUCGUUGAUUUCUUCGUUAUUUAAAAGAAAUGAUAAUUUAUUGAUGAUCGUGGAACUUCUAAAACCAUUCAACAAAUCAAACGAUUGCCGGCUUUAAUAAGAGCCACGCCAUAUAAAAUAACAUGAGCUUGAAUGCGAGAAAUAGAUACAUAUGGCAUCUGCCGGGUCUACUAGGUGAAUCUUAGGUAUUUGUAUGCAUUAAAAAAAAAAGCAUAUGUGGUGUGUAUCACCGACAUGUAUGAAUAGAUUAAGCAUCAUUGUUACUCAUCACAUUACGAUUAUUUAUUAAGGUUAUCCGCUAUGGUAAUCAAAACCAGCAAUUGCAAUUUCAUAACCUUGGCAUGAAAUUACGAUUAGUUUAGCUAGUCUUAAUCAUUUUCGAGAGCAUGACAUCACACCCCCACCGAUUAUGGUAGGAUCGAUUGAACAUUUGAAUGUGAGGGGAUGUCAUUAUCAGGAGGCACCGAACCUAGCUACAGUGACGCCUGCGCGCUAUGUGGCACUUGGGAUGGCCGCUUGGAGGCCAACCAAACAAAUAAAACACGUUCCAAGAUACGCCGAUUAAAAAGACUAACGAUGAGAAGUUGAUGACCGAAGGCAUAUCUAUCAAGCGCCUGGAAAAAUAUAUAAUUGAUAGCUCUGAACUCUAAAGACGAAAACAGGGACAGGCCUACAUGAGAGAAUCCGAUGUCUGCUCGGCAUUGAGCGUGAGAUAGAUUCGUGCUCGAUGGAUGGCCCGGGUAUUAUGGCAUCCAUGGUGUCAAACUAUAUAUGUAGACAAGAGAAUCAAACUGCAAUCCAUUUAAAGGUGACAUUUUUGAGUGCUAAAAUCUUAGGAUUUAGUUGGAUCCAUCCCAUAUUGUAGAUUCAGACUUUACUUCUCUAAAAAAAUAUUGCGAGUCCAAAAUCAGACGCAAUGGUGUCAUCCUGAAUCCUAAAAUUUUAGAAUUAAGUGGUAUCCACCUGUCCAAGUUUCUUAAUGCCAACAUCCGACACCAUGGUGAAGCCGAGUCCAGUGUGGGACCAAUUGGAUCCAGAUCUACUCAAAUCACUUGCACCCCCGAGGGAUCACCACUAGUUUAAAGUGAAAUCCAACUAAACAAAUCCAUGGGUGGCCAAGGUCCUUUCUCUAUGUGUCGGUAAAUCGCUUUUAAAGGUUCUUCGAUUCUUUAAGGGGUGGCAGAGAUUGGAUAAGAGGAGGGUUCAGCUUGUAGUAGAAGCGAGUGCUGUUGGUCCCUCUACCAUGUGUUAUCGCAAUCAUCUUGGCAGAGAGGAAGCAGAGAAUGUUCGUUGCUUGUAAACCAAGCCUCCAAACACUGUGAUCCUCAUAAUGGAUGCAACCCUAUGAGCUUCUGAUCAUCGGUAUAGGGUCCUUAUAGCCAUUUUAGUUUUAAGAUUUCCAAAGAUUACCCUUCCUUUGAACAAAUUAGAGGUAAAGGAAAUGCCCGUAAGAAGAGCUUCUGUUCCUAGUUUUUUCUGGUUGGGUGUGUCAUAAUAGCAUGCACUGAAGAAAACAGAGAAAAAACUGAAUAAUAAGAAUUCAGUUAAUUGUCAUUAGGAAUUUUUUUCAACUCUAAGUCCUAAAUUGAUAAAUUCACUUACCAUGGUGCCUCAAAAUAAUUUAUUAAUUGAAGACGGGAAUAAUUACCACAAUUUAUGAUAUUUAUUUGAAACACUGUUUUAGAGGAGAGGAUCUUAAUUCGCACAAUUGAAUCCUACCUAAAAACACAUUCAUUUUAAGGCUCUCACAUCAUACAUAUUGUAAAUAUUUCAUGUCAUAAAAUCAUAAUAAUAGCUACAUAAAUAGCUAUGGGGCUAUAAAUGAUAACCAGAAACCUUGUAACGUGACUUGAUUGCUAGAAAUAAUUGAGUUAAAACCCUAAGGUUACUGUAUCAAUUUGUAUAGAUCCCAAUCAAUAAACUAAUGUGUGUGUGUGUGUGACAGGCUAGAUAUUUUAUAUCUAUUAACAAUAUGCACAUUAUGACUUGUCAAUUUAUUGUAAAAUUCAUCUUUCAAUAUUUAUAAACAAACAAUCAAGUUUUAAGAUAUCAUGACCUAGAACUAAUAAAUAAUCAUUUUAGCAUGACAAAAGAAAGGGGUGGCAAAAUUUGACUUGCAUUUGCAAUGGGCACAAACCUCCCUACAACAAAUUGGUCUAGGAGCGGUUCUCCAUUGACCGGUUCCAGCUGAACAUGAGUCAAAUAUAUAAUUAGAUUUAACCCCCUUGAACCUCAUAGGUCAUCUAGGCUGAUCCAAUCGGACCGACUCUCAAAUUUCAACAUAGCUAAUGGUUCUCCAAAUUUUUUCCAUGUUUUGGUUUAUUAUAAAACUUAAAAAAAGGUUAUAGAGUGAUGGGCAUGGUGGUUCACAAAAUUGCAAAAUCCAAAGUCAAUUUUUAGCUAGAAUUAUAAAUAUCAUAUAAGUUAAAUUUUAAGUCUAUCUCAAUUAUAAUGAUAUAUUUGAAAUUAAUUUGAUUCAGUUGUUUGUGACCCUAGAAGACCAUGAUCUUCUAUUUUUUUAAUUAUAUAUAACUAAUAAGCGAAUACUUUAAAAAAUUGGUGGAGCAAGUACAUUAUUUUAUAUAAAAUAAAUAGAUCAGAUAAGUAUUUACAUUUUUUAACCUAAUUAUUACCAAAUGAGGUUAAACGGGUAAGAUAUGUCAUGAGAAGAUUUUGACCCUGGCCUGGCUUGACCAGACCUGAACGCAACCCGUCCUAUUGCGAUCCCCAACGAAGCAUAUGACAUUGCAAGCAUAGAUCUUAUUUUUAUCUAAUUAAUAACUGUACGUAGCACCCUAAGGUUAUUCUACAUCCAGAACAUGUUUUCUAUGAAAAAACACUGAAAAGUUAGUAAUAGUUCAUACCAUAUAGAGCCAACAAAUAUUCAACUAGAGUUCUGAAACUGGAUACAAACCUCACAAAAAAUAAAACCCAUAUCCUGACCCAAACUUGCUGGUCUUACUUUCAUGUCCAGAUCGAUCCAUUCUCUUGCUGAUGUAGAAUGAGUAUGACAGAACCAGGUUUUCGGAGCUCGGCCUGAAAAUACAACAUUCGUUUUCUACCCUCCGGGACCAUGCACAAUAUAAAUGCAAGCUACAAGCACACCUCUGGAGCCGAAUGAAGAAGUAUGUUUUUUCAGACUAACACCCCACCUUCGCACAACCUGGUUCAGUUUCAUUAUUCGUACGAAGGAGUAGGCCCAUUUGAUCAGCUUUGAUUUUAUCACAUACUCUUAAUGACGCCUCAGGUCCACGUCGGUGGGGUUAACAAUAGCAAAUACAAAUUUGACAAACAAGCCACAACAAGCCGCAUCUGUUUGAUCCGUUUCCUACAACUAUCAGACCACAUCAACCCCACCCAUAUUUUAAAGGGCCUACAGAAUGAACAAAGGCGAGUUAUUGACAAGCUAUUCUCAAUUGAGCACCAGCAUGAAGACGAGCAUAUGAAUAUUAUUCACAAUGAAAAUUAUAGCAGGCCAAGUAGCAGACAUGAAUUUGGUAUAUCUGGUCAAAUAAGAAACAGAACAAACAUGAUACUCCAUCUUAACGAAAUCACUUUAAGAACAUCAUGAGAAUCAGGACCUUCAUCAUUAGAUUUCAUUUGUCUCGAUAGCAUAACACACUCAGAGUAGGAGACCCUCAUCCCAUAGCAUAUUUCUGAGUCCAGCUGCGAGCUGUGGCCUCAUACUUUGCUCUGUCAGUCUUGUACAUAUGAGCAAUCUCUGGAACAAGAGGAUCAUCUGGAUUUGGAUCCGUCAACAAAGAGCAGAUAGAAAGCAGGACCUGUUGCAAAUUACAUUGUUCACUAUCAAGAAUCACAUAGUUCCAAUCAUAACAUGUUCAGAGAAGGAAGAAAGUGAAAUUGCCAAUAUAAAAUGUGAAAACACAGAUAUCCGACUUGAUUUGCAAAGCACAUUACUAUGAUAUAGGUUUAGGAUCAGAAAAAUGGUGCUCGCUAGAGUGAUGAUAUCAACUGCUAAAAACUAGGCUCAAUUCUCAUCAUAGAUACUACCGUAUAUCUGAUCAAAAAUAAAAUCAUGACAAUCCUAAUAGGUUAUCCUUUUUGUUGUAUCGACUAACUUCAUUGUCAUUCUGCAUAUAUUUUAUUUUAACUCUAGAAAACAACAGUUCCUGGCAAGCAUGUAUGGGUUUGGCAUGGACAAGAAGAAUCAUCAAAUAAUUGUCCAUCUUUCAGGGGGAAAAAACGAAUAAUUUUCCCUACAAGGGUCCCCAAAAGCAGCUUCCACCUACAUAGGUUACAUUUGAACUCUCAUACAUAUUAUAGGAACUCUCUUUUUCUUUCAUUUUUGGCAUCAAAUGAUCUGAAUUUCCAUAUGGAAGUGAGUAUUAAGAAAGUUCGGGAAAUUUACAAAAACAAAAAAAAAAACACAAGCAAGACAUAUACUGCACAUUUUUAUUCAGAACUGGCCAUUUGUAUAAACUUGUGAUAAAAACUGAAUUUUCUGCUUUAUUCUUUUUCUUUUCAAUGUAUCUUCACAGCACAUUCACAUCAAUAGCAACUUGCAAAUAAUACUGCAGCACCAUAGACUUUAGUUCUGUUCCUGUUCUUAAUGCUCAUUAACAGAAACACACAAAUUUAUGAAAGAUUGGAGAAAUUUUAACAUAAAACAUAAUUUUCUUAUUUUCUUCAACCAGUAUUAAAUGCCAAAAAAACUGUUUAUUUCCUAUCAAUAAUGGCAUAAAAAAUCGAGUUACAGAAAGGGAUACAUCCUGUUUGUUCAACACAAAUCAAAACAAGUAAAUAACAUUUGCAUGUCAUACCUUUGAGAUGGUCAGGGCAGGACUCCACUGCUCCUUAAGGAUAUCCAGACAGAUACUCCCAUUACUAUUGAUGUUCGGAUGGAAGACCUUAGUCUUAAAAGCAACCUAAAAUGUGUAACUGUAUCAGUGUAUGAAGGUAUUGAUCCAGUAUAACAAAAAUUAAAAAGGAAAAGAACUGUUGAUUAUUGAUAAAUCACUGAAAUGAUCUCAACCGUUAAAUGUCAUGUAUAUAGAAUAUAAAAAUAUGGCACUGUAUAUGCCACAACCACACCAACAAGCAUAGUUCUAACUUCUGGUGAUUAUUUUAACACAAUAUUCUGUAUAAUUGAGUCCCCAUUUUCCAUGGAUUACCUACAGAAAAAGAACUCCAUCUUUAUGUCAUCCGUGGAUGCGUGCAAACACCUACUGACCUACAAAUUUCAUGCAAGUACUAACCUUUCUCACUAAACCUUUAAUGACAGCUGUUAAUAUUAAUUUGGUAUGUAAGCAAGUUCUAGUUAACUAGAACCAAACUUGUCAUCUAAAUGCACUUUCAUUACAUAUAUAUACAUAUAUAUAUAUAUAUAUAUCUAUAUANNNNNNNNNNNNNNNNNNNNNNNNNNNNNNNNNNNNNNNNNNNNNNNNNNNNNNNNNNNNNNNNNNNNNNNNNNNNNNNNNNNNNNNNNNNNNNNNNNNNNNNNNNNNNNNNNNNNNNNNNNNNNNNNNNNNNNNNNNNNNNNNNNNNNNNNNNNNNNNNNNNNNNNNNNNNNNNNNNNNNNNNNNNNNNNNNNNNNNNNNNNNNNNNNNNNNCUCCCAAGUCUUUUGAGUUUCUGAUCUAACUGUUGGAUUCUUCUAUUUUCUUCCACUCCAAAUCUCCCACUAAACAGCAUGUGGCUACUCCAAGUUUCUUGUCUUUCAAAAUAACUGGACAUAGAAAUCAUCAUACAUUGUAGAUAAAUUAAAAAAAGCUUAAGAGAGUUUUCAAGCAACCUCAUUUCAAAAACAGUUCUGAAGCAAUCUUUUUUUUAACAACAAAAAAAAGCAAGGGAGGAAAUUUUUCGUAUAGCACAUGAACAGCUCUACAUCAGUCCUCCCAGCACAAUCUACUUUCUACCUAAAAUAUAAAUAAUGAUGACCUCCACAUAAAGGAUUGAAUCUCAGAGGGACAUUGGGAUUCUGCACCAACUUCAAUAGAUUUGUGGGCCCCACAAUACAAGCACUUCGUAGAAUGAUCUAGCAUAGUAAGAUCCUUGAAAGUAGAAAACCUAGCAACCACUCCCCCAAAAUCAAUAUCAACAAUGAGAAUGAAUGUCAAGUGUCCUCUCACUUCAGCUUAGUUUCUACAUUAUUUGGGCAAUGAACAGCCCAAUUUGCUAGUUCUGAAGGUUAAACCAAUAACACAUAACUCUGGUCCUUCAAUUGAUUAAAGUAACUAAUGUUAAGGAAAUAGAUUCAGUAACUAGAGAAUAGGAAAAUAGACUGAAAUGGACUCUUGCAGUACUUCCCAUGCAUCUCUAGAACAAUGUUCUAUCACCUCUCCAACAUUAUAAGCUCUCCUUGCUCUCCUUUCUUGAAGCAUGGGCCUUGUUGUCUCCAUAUACCAUGAUUGAACUGACAGACACUCCAUCCAAAUGAAGACAGUUUCCACAUGCUCUUGUUGGAUUAAGAAAAAAAUACUAUGAUGUAAACCAUGCAAAAUUUAUUCACCUUUUCAAGCAGAUGAAAAUCACAGAUAACAGGAUGGUUAAAACUUAAUUUCCAGUUGAGACAUUAUCCACCAGCAGAGAUAGGAGCAACAUCAAACACAGAUUUUUGUUUCAGAUAAAGGGUAAUUUGGGGAAGUGACUGUUCAAAUCAUGAUGAAAUGUUCCAAAAUUCAAAUACUUACUAUGAUAUAACAUAGAUAAAGCUUCCAAAUUCCAAAAACUUAAUGCUCUGCAUCAAUAUAUCCUAGUAAGUGUUUUUAUAUCUACUUUAUAAAAAUAUUAGAAUUUUGAAUUUCCGAAAUAUUUCAGAAACAUUCAAUCACUUUUUUCCACAAUACCGUUGAUAUUGGGGGGAAAUCUUGUAUCCAAUGAUCUCUCAGUAAUCUCCACCAAUAGAUACUCCAACCUAUAAUAGUGCUUGAAAUAACUGAACAUAACUGAAUUCUAAGAUAUUUCCAUUCUUACUAAAACAUGACGACAACCGUCUCUUCGAUCUGAAAUAUGCUUUGCAUACAACCCCAGUUUCCUCUUUCGCCAUGCUAUCUUCGUUGGCAAACGGGUGGGUUAGAGCGAGCGCUGGAAAACCUGACCCUUGGAUAGUUUCAAUUCUUGAUAAAACUUAACUAAUAAAAAGUUUCAUCUUGUUCAUGACCAAAGUUUCUAUAAGUUAGAAUUUUAAUUAAUCAAUACUUUCUUCAUCCAACCAAAUGUUGGCUUGAUGCCCUCGCCAUCUAGCACUCUCAUCAUUAUGAGGGUCUCCAAUAAUGAACUCAAUUUCCAUGUAAACAAUCAUUACAUUUAACAUAUUGGUUUUAUAUUCUCAUGCAUAAGCAAUGUGCAUGCUCAAAAUAGUUUUACGACAUUUUUAUCUAUGCCUUUUUGAAUACAUAAUAAAGGAAACAAAUGGAAGUUAUUUGAAAAAAUAGUUGCUGAUGGUCCUAAAGGAUAUGUGUUUCUUGAUCUUUUACCUCUUUUAAGAAGAGUAGCUAUGAGAAAUCUACCUAUUCAGACUAGGAUUAGUUACAAAACUGAAUUGGUUAUAUGUUGAAACUGGGAUGUAAAUGAGAUCAUGAUCAAGAAAACUUAUUAUAGUCUUCGUACAACAGACUACAGCAGAGUUACAAAUAAAUAUGAAAUAGGUUUAUUGAAUGAAAUAUUAAUUCUUCCUUCAAAAGAUCUCUCAGCCUCAUCAUUCUUAAGUUUUCUAAUCAUGUCUCAUCUCUUCUCUCAAAUCCUUUUAUCUAAUGUCUCUCCAAUCUAAACCCUGCAGAAACUAUAUAAAUCCCUCCUAGUCAUUAUCCCUAGCUAGUAUUUCACAUGUGCUCUGCACAUGCCUUUCAAAAAAGUGUGGAGAGAGAGAGAGAGNNNNNNNNNNNNNNNNNNNNNNNNNNNNNNNNNNNNNNNNNNNNNNNNNNNNNNNNNNNNNNNNNNNNNNNNNNNNNNNNNNNNNNNNNNNNNNNAUAAUUCACUUCAGAUUCAGUAGAUAUGGACCUGAAUGUGCUCAGAGGUAUCGAAAAUGAUACAAGUAUUCCAUGCCUGUUUUCUGGAUCCGCAGUAUCUGCUCUUCAACCUUAACUGUGGCUUCCACAAAUCAGUGGGCAAGUAGGGGCGAGCCAAUGUUAUAUACAACCCUGCCACAUUAGGACUCAAUUUAACUCAAAUUUCUAUCACAAAAAAAAAAGAAGAGGAGGGAAGAGAAGAAAAUGUCUCCUCCCAACCAUGUCACUUCCAUGUGCAUUCCAUUAACAAAGUUGGCCUUCAGGUCUCCUAUUGUCCAUCAAGAACACCUGCAGAAUCCUCUUGAGCGAGGAUCUGAUAGUUAUAUGAUUGUGGGAUGAGCAGGCAAAAGUUUCACAUGCCAACUAAUGAUAAAUAGGUGAACUGCAGUAAUUAAUUGAAAAAAAUAAAAGUAGCAAUGUUAUGGAAGCCAAAGUGGAGUUCAUGAAUAGAGAGGUUCAAGCUUGGAAGGGUACUUCACCUAUCCUGGUGAUGCAACUAAUUGAAGCCAACUGUUGCUGAAAGCAAAUGCAAGAAAGCAAUAGCAUGCAAUCAUCCACAAUUAGGAGCAAUAGCUGAAUGUAUAUAAUUAAUAUUAUGAUCUCCUAAAUGUAUGAACACAAUACUGAACAAAAAUAAAUUGCUGAACUUUAUCAUAUAUCAAUGAACCAAAUGGCCUUUCCAGAAAUCGAUGAUAAUAAAGAUAUGAAGCAAACAUCAAGCAACAAUAAAGAGAAAGUCACCCCAAAAUGCAUGCUAUAUGCCUUUAGUACCUAAAAGUUAGUGCUCUAAUCAACAAGGAGACUUAUAUACACCCCCCCACCCCCACCCCCCGCGCCCGCCAAAAAAAAGGCAGAAAAGUAAAAGAAAAAGAAAACAUCCCCUAAUUAGGGGUGGAACUUAAAACAGAAAAACAGACCAUCAUGACAACAGACUAGACGGGAACACCUGUAAAUGAGAUAUCCAAAAGCUAUGCCAGAAUAUCACUCAUACCUUUGGUGGCUUGAAAGGAUAAUCUGGAGGGAAAUGAAUAUUUACUAAAUAUACACCUCCAGCAUAUGGACUGUCAGGAGGGCCCAUGAUCGUUGCUUGCCAAUGAAACAUGUCCUGUGCUACAGGACCUGCAAAAUAUAAACAUAAAUUCCCAGCAUUAGUGCAGUAGAGAAAACACUGAACAUAUCCAACCAUAUCCUAUUAAAGAUUGCAUGUUGAGUCAGCAGAAGCUUUUUAUUUCAUCUGCUAUGAGUCCCUGACUAACCCUUUUAGGUCAUUCCCCCCACUAUUAUGGUAAGUAUACAAACCAAAUUCCUCACCUUAUCAUAGCCUCGCAUCUUUAUUUUGUUGCAAAGUGACCAUGCUAUCUGAUUUGCUUUUCCACCACAUUUUCAGUGUAAAUCUUGCAUAGCAACUUUUACCAAUAAUAUGUUCAUUUCUAAUCAAGUACAACAAUCUGAGCCAUACCAAGGGUUCAACGUUGUUACCGUCUUAGUCUCAAGAUCAUAUAUCCUACAAGUCUCAAGAAGCAUGCAACAACUUCACAACGCACUAAAAUGCCCCUCUUGACUUCAUCCAUCCAACUCUAGUUCUAUAAGGUAAGAAUUUGUAUAUGCCUCCACUAUUUUAUAUAACCAAUCAAAGAUAAGAAAAUAACUAUGGCUACAUAUAUCUUGGGAAUCAACUUUGAUCAUGACCAAAUUAUCAUUUGCAUUCAAGAUACAGUUGAGUUACUUGGAAACAAAAGCUCAUCAGUAACCAUCUGAGACAAAGUGCGAUUCAAAUUAAGACACAUAGCAGUACAGAUGACCUGCCCUUUUAUCAAAGAGUGCAAUGUACUUCAUCAAUGAUUUUGAGGAUAACCCUGCAAAGAAAAUCUCAUUUUGAAGAUUUAAUCUGCCUAAUCCUUUAUUAUGAUGUUUUCCACAAACAUUCUAUGACAAGACACUAAUUAAUUUAAUUCUCUGAUCUUCUGUUGACAUAAUAUUACAUUGAUAAUGAAAAACUACUAAUCAAAAUUCCCAAUAGUUUUAACCUGAGCAUUUCUUUGAGGAGUAGGACAUCAUUGUGCUAAUUAAUCAAUUUAAGGGUGGGGAAAUUGAGACCAUUACAAAGGGAAAAAGAUUUUAACGGAACACUUGCACCAUAAAAUCAACCCAAGCCAAUAAAGAAAAAAUAAAUAAAUAAAUAAAUCACUGCUUAAGUUAAUACUAAAGUCCUAACACUUCAAUAAAUGAAAAGUAACUAGGACCAACUUCAUCAUUGUCACAGUGACACAAGUCCUGGACUAAGUUAACAUAGUUAAAGUUUAACUAUCGCCUGGUAAACAUGAUUACAUAACCAUAUUAGCUUUAAUAGUUUCACACGGGCAGGUGUUGCACGUUAUAAUUGAAGUUACCAAACUUACAUUCAUAGUUUCCACUUCAUAAAAAACAUCUCCUUGAAUGUGUAUCUUAUUGAUAUGAAAAAAAUGACAUGCUUUAACGAUUAUGCGAAGUCAAAAACUUCGCCAACAACAUUGGCAACCAGUGCCAUCUAUAGAAAGUUUUACAUAGAGUGACUUCCACCCAAGCAAGACCUAUAUUAACACAAAAGGUAGUCCGAAAUAUAAGAACUCAAACUAUCCCCUGCAGCCUUUAGAAGUCUCAAAAUUUAAUCCAAAUUCACAAAUCUGGAAGUAAAAUAAAAGAAAGUUAGUGCAAAACAAUAACAUCAAGUUGAGAAAGCCCCCUCCAGCAAUUUUUUACAUUUUUUCUUUUCAAGAGUGAAGGUCAUUGUCCUUCCUUCCCUCUGCUUUUUGACAAUUGACAACUUGUGUCAUCUUCAAGAAAAAAAGAAGCAUAAGAGAAAACGAGGGUGUGGUUCCUAUAAGAAAUAAUGAAUCAAAUAUAACUUGACAUAGAGAGGAAAAAAUUACAUGAAGAGGGAUUUAGAAAUGGAGUGGUGAGAAACUAAAAAGACCGAAUCUGGCGCUACAGCCAAUUGUACCUGCACUGCAGGAGGUAGGAGGAUCCUUCUGCAAAUCCUUCAGCUCCUUCAGGAUACGCUUUGAUGCCAUGAGAAUCUUCUGCAAAACAAAAUUUAAAUAAAAGUUUCAGACUCUUAAAGGUUAAAGGCCAAUGCUGACAAGGAUGACAAAACACAUGAAGAUUAUGAAUUUAGGAAUCCAAAUAAAAUUACACUAUUCUCAAAUAUUAGAAUCCAAAGGAGUAUUUACUAAGUGAUCAGAACCUAGAGGAAACAAACUUUCAAAAGAAAAAAAAAAUUGGAGAACCAUUUUAAUUCUAAACCACAGUAAUCGCAUGGGUCAAAUGAAACCAUAGCACUAUUUUUGCACUGGAUAAAGUUCCUACAAUUUGGAAACUGAUCAAAGGCCAUCCAGUUCAAAGUAAAUAUACUAAUAACAUGCAGAAUCUCAUGAUUCUUUUUUUCAGGGAGACUAUGAAAAGAGGAAAGAUGGCUUAACAGAGAAAUAACCUAAAAGGAAAAUCUUUUGAUUGUACUCAACCGGUGCCCCAUAAGCCUAUCCGUAAACAUAUGAUUAAAUUCAAUAUGUUGUUCAUUUAUGUUUGAUUGCGUCAUAGUUCUAUAAUUCAAAUUAGGUUUAUCCUUGGCUGAACUACAUUGGCAAGAAAAAAACAGUUGGUACAGCUAAUCCAUGAACAGCCAACCAUCAUAUUGUAAAAUUGGAAAAGUUCAAUCCAUGGUCAUUUGGGGCCUCCUAAAAGGCUCUACUAAAUUUAUCAAGUUGUUCCAAAUAAUCAAAAUGGUCGAAUGAUGAUUUCCAAUCCAACUGUUACUAUGCUAACAAAAAUUUAGUUCCAACAUCCUCUUUCAACUUCAGUUAUCAACAAACGCCAUGGAGUCUAUGCCAACUAUAUAAAUACCUUCAACUUCAAUAAUUUCAUGUAAAAUUUGACAACUUGAUCCUCUCCCUUGCAACAUAAGCACUAUGAAGCAUUAAUAUUGCUAAAAUCACCAUGAGAAAAAUGGGAAUCUAUCUAUAGGCAUCACUGAAGUGUCAUCAGAAUGAAGUUUUAAUAGACCAUAUUGAGAAAUAAUCCACUCUCCAACUAUUCUUAUUAGCAACCAGACAUUGAGCAUGGAUGGUGACACAUUGAUAGAAUCACCUUGCUUCCAUCAUUAGAGAGAACAGUAGCUUCUAAUUUCUCCAAAUGACAAAUGGAAGCACCAUUUCCAAGGAAAAACCACAAUUUACUAUAGCUUCCAUAAAUGUCAUUAAUUUGUGAAAACUAUUAGGCCCAGACCCAUCAAAAAAUUAUACCAUAAUCUGCUGUGUGUCUCUAAGUGAUACAACAAAUUAACACUUUUACUAGCAUCCAACAGAUAACCUCAAAACAAUGUCAAAUCACAUAACAAUAACACCUCGAAUGGUACCAAACUCACUCUUCAAGUGUGCAUAACCCGCUAUUCGCACAAAACCUAAAUGCUCAACCGAAAUCAAAUUUCUUCAAGAGUUGACCACUUUCAGAUUUCCAUCUUAAGCCUUUUUUGACAUCUUAGUCAAAAGAAAAUAAUUUCUUCAUUAAUUUGAGAACUCCUGGUGCGUCAUGAAAAUCAUGACAAUCAUCUAAGAUUCAUGUCUCAUGGACCUUGUAAACUAUUCAAUCAUAACAUAGUAAUUUCAGAUUGGGUUCACCUCGCUAACACUGAUUGAAACCCUUAGCCUCCAUGGAGGUACCUAACUAGUAACAUCAAUGAGAGCCCGUAAAACAAGUGAACACAAGACAUUAUCAGAACAAUAACCUGCAUGCCUUCUAUAUAAAAUAAACAUCAUGUGAUCUAAUAAUAUUUAUCUAUAUAGGUUUAACUAAAUGGUUACAUAACAAAUGCCAGAAUUCAGGAUAUUUGCAAAAUUCUACCAGAAAAUGAUGAAGAAAAAUGUGUAAAAGCUGAAAUACUAAUUCCAGCACAAAGUUACCAAAACUAUAGAGCAAAAAAUCUUAUAUAACAUGCCAACAACACUUGUCUCAUCUAGUUCACAGCCCACAUCUCAAGAAAAAGAUCCAGGAUUCGACUCAAGAUUUUGUCACUCCCACAAAACUAGGGCCACAAAUGAGCUGAGGCGAGUUGAGUUGGCUUCUCAGCCAUAGGUUGAUAUGUAAUGGGGUUGAUCAAGCUUGAGUAAAGCUCGACAAGACAUGAUCAAGCUUUGCUCGUUCAUCAAAGCAAACUGAUCCUGAACGAGCUCCUUAUCGAGCUCAGAUUAUCCUUAUUCACUUUUGCAAAUUCAGGGAUUCCAAUUCAAUUCACUCAUAAUGGUUGAGCUUUAAAAAAUGUUCGACAUAGGCUUGGUGGCAAGCCGAACCAGGCUUGUAAGCCUGUUCUCGGGAGAAGACUGAGUUGUGCAUGACCAGCUAAUUCAUUUGCAGCCCCAAACCAAAUUUCCCACAAGAAAGGGGGAAAAUCUUAUAUAACACGAUCCUUCACAGUCCUUGUAAGGAACUUUACUAUGCAUGAUCCACCAAUCGAUUUUGCAGUAAUUUGUCUUGUUCACCCACUUCGUAACUAUUAGCAAGUACUUCUCUGUUCUUGAAUUCAGAUCUUUAUGAAAUAAAAUAAAAUACUAGGAUUUGACUGAUAAAACUGAUCAAAACUCCUUGAAAAUUGAAUUAUUCCAUUAGAUCUCAAGAGCUACAAAGUGCCAUCACUUUUUUUAUAUUCAUUAUUAGAAAAAAGAAUUGACUACUACUAAAUAGGUAAUAAGUUAUGAAGUACUUGCUGAUUCCAAUCAACUAUCUACCUCACAUGAUCCACACGGAAUAGUUGGACAAUUUUUCUUCCAGCUGAUUCGGGGGAUCCCUAUGUUGCUAUUCAUGUAUGCAACUAACAUAGCCCUAUCACCAUAAUUAAGUAGAUAUAAAUUAACCAAUCAAAUUUUUGAGUGACUACAGUACAGAUCUCAUAACUAUGAUUAAUUAUCAAAUAUGGUUUAAAAAAAUAACAAAAUAAUAAUGAUUUACUUUUAUAGUAAAUAUGUACAUUUUUGUCAUGGGAAUACUAGCAGAUGCUCCCAAUCAUAUGUGAAAUUUCCAAUAUGCGAGACAAAGCCUUCAUCAUUUAAUAAUUUGGAUUAUAAGCUGCGCACUUAUAGCCUUGUUUCCACAACUAUUUGGGAGUUAAGCAUUUAUAACACAUAAGAAGAUAAACAAUAUCAUAUGACUCAAUUAAAAUUUUACCCUUUUCAUUAAAAUUUUUGUCAUCCCCAAACUUGGUUGGGUGAAAGAAACUGUUACCAACCUACUGAAUGCACGUGAUAUUUUGCUGCAGCCCAUAAUGAAGAUCAUAUACUAUUUCAGUUAUUCUCUAUCAUGAUCGUAACCCAUAAAAGCACUCUUGCCAUUCUUGUUUGUGGCAAUAAUACCCUUUUUUAUCUAUGCAAUGGACUUAUUCUGAGAACUGCAACUACAUUUAGCUUCUUUCACUGGGGUUGGGCAUCGAUGUCUUUUAACUUCAUCAGCUGAAGGUGCUCGACUAUAAUAGAUCAAGCCACAACCAUUUGCACACCCUGAUUUUGCCUCUCCAGUUUCAUCCCUAGUCGCAUCACUCAUCAUAAAUUAAGAUCCAACACAUGUUUAAGUGAUAAUAUGGGCAUUCUCUAAUCAAGAACUCAUUCUUGAAUACCAAACUUAUAAACUCCUAAAAGCCAUGACAUGUAGAUAACUGCCUAGGGAAUCUCUGGAUACUCCAUUUCAAUCUUCUUGCUAUUAACUUCAAGUUGAUUUGACAUAGGAAUCACCUUGUCAAAGUCAAAAAUCAUUUUAGAACAUUCAAAUUGUCAUCUUAACUUUCACUACUUCCAAGGUAACUCCUUUCAAAGUGCACACCUCUUUCAUUUUACUAGUACUUAACAUAUUAAAAGUCAUGUAUCCAUUGCUUGAAACAUGAAGAAAUGAGCACAUUUCUCAAUUCUCUUUAGUGCACCUUCCAGGCUCAGGGAGCAUUAACUACUCUAGUUCAAUAACAGCCUCCAUGUAGUUCUUCACUAUAUUCUAGAUUUUAUAUCCAAGAAGUCCAUUAACCUAAAAACUCUGAUGGCACUAAUUACUAAAGAAUGACUUGUAGAGACUAGGAUUCAUCUCUCCUAAUUAAAAGGCAUGAUCUACAAAUUUCUACGUUAAUAGUUUGCCCGUGAAGAAUUGCAAAUCAGCUCAUACUUCCGAGAUCUAACUUUCAGUUUUGGACGUUCAUGAUUCACAAAGGAGGAUAAAACAUGGAUAAUGAGCAAAAUAGGAUUCUGACUUGAUUGAUUUCAAUAAGGGCAAAUCAACCAUCUACAUGUUUAAUCUAAGAGUUACAAGUGAGUCAAAAGGGUUCAAAUCUGGCAUGGCCUCAUUUUGACUCUAAUUAGCUUUGGGUUUAGAGAUUUAGAUGAGCUGCCAUUCAUGUGGUGGGUUGUACUAAAUUUCUUUUCAAAUUAGGUCAGUGUAAGGUGUAAGUCUAAAGACUAAGAACCUAGACUCAGAUUCCUGAAUGAAUUUUUCUCAGGUCCAAGCAGUAUUUUUCGUGCUUGACUAGUCUAAUCCAGGAGAUUCAGACCCUAUCCAGUUGGAAUUCAAGUUUUUGUGCGGACCCAUAUCUAACCCAUAAGAUCAAAUUGGAUAUGGGUCAAGUCCAGGCCCAAUCAGCUAAAAUCUGAUUCAUGUCUAGAUGUCUCCCUUACGCCCCUAGUUACUUUAUCUUUACAUAAAUUCAAACAUGGACUCCGAACACCAAUAGCCUAUUUGUCAACCUUUCUAUAGACAGUCUAGGCAACUACCAUCAACUGUGCUUCGCAAUACGAGGAGAUGUUAUCUUAACCUAUAUGUCUCAGUUUAGCUAGUUAUCUAACCAACAUACCUUGUUGAGCUACCAGUUCACAUUUUCUUUUCUUAAGCACAUGAAAAGCCUUCUUCUUCCAGAAGACCAGAAAGUAGAAGCACAUCAGACGAAUGGACCAAAUAUAACAGAUGUAUUUUCCUUCAUCAAAUACUAGUUAUGGAUACUCCAUCAAUUCAGUGCCUCUCAACCUAUAAUUGUGGAAUCAGAACACGGAUGCAUUCCUAGACCAUGCAAUGUUUUGAGAUGGAGGAUGUCACCAUGUAAAAGCUCUUAACACUCGAUGAGCUCCUAAUUCUCCCUUGAUCAUCAGGCUGAAACCUACUUUACCAUGUCGCCAACAGUGCAUUGCCAAAGUUCAGUUAGAUCCUAGUUUAGGGUCUAAAUAGGAUAACAAUUGUACCAAAUCAUGGUUUAAAACACAUCAUAUACUACAACAGCAAGAUAGCUCCUUCCUUUAGCAUUCUAGCUCCUUAUUUUAGCAUUCUUUUACUAUUGCACCUCCUUCAGGCAACUUUAAUUUUCUUUUCACAUUGCCACUGAACAUUUCUUUCAUAUCCAAAACUACGCAGCAAAUCAUGGUAAGUGAUCGAGCAAUACGUAAAUUUAAAAAAAAAGUCUCCUCUUCUGAAAUUUGGUAACACGUAGACUAGUAAUCCAAGCGGCAGCUAAGAAAAUGGACAAAUGAAGGGAGGAUUCGUGAUGCUCGCGCGCUCGAAACAAGCGAACCAUCCGAGACGUACGAUUUAAGAUUGUUCACAAAUCGACCAAUCGCAAAAAUGAUAUCUAACCCAUCGCAUAUGAAUCUAAUCCCCUCCUCCGCAUAAUAAACCAGAAAUUUAGAAACAAAAGGGCCGAUCUAAAAACCCUAGAAAAGAAUUCGAUCAAGCCUCACGGAAUGAACCCCCAAAUUCCAAAUCAAGAACGAAAAAUAAACAGAAGCAGGCAAAGAAUCGAGAUCGGAGCAAACCGGACGAGAACAGCAGGGCCUCAGAGCCCGAUCGAAUCGAAAGAAAUAACGAAAUCAAACCCUAGGUACUCGGGAACUGAUCGCAAUCCACGGAAACAAGAAGGGAAGGAGGCGAACCUGGGUCGAAAUCAGGGGGCGCCUUGACGACGGGGGGCUAGGGUUUCACGCUCGGAGCUCUCGGCCUCGGAGGACGGCGAGAAGAAUUUAUCGCCAAGAAUGGGGAAAAAUAAAGAGAGAGGGACGGCCUUGGGAAUCGGGUCAGAUCCACCACCGCGCCGCCACCGCUGGUGCAGGGAGGCAAGGGCACCUUAUGUAGUCAGAGAAAAAAAUGUAGUGACGAUAAUGACCCUGAGGCUCUAGGCGAAUGGCAAGUGAUCGGUGAGUUGCUGUGUUGUUUUGGGGUGGGUAGAGAUGGAAACGUUCGGGAAGGCCGGCCGUCGGUUUAAUGGCCCCUCGCCUUGUUCCAUAGAAUACACGUGUUUUUUUAAUCAACUUGAUAAUUUCAGCCAACUUGAAUCAACCUUUGUUCGAUCUUGGACAACGGGAGAAGGGAGGGAUUAGGACUUGGUAGAGACCAGCCAAGACCAAAUUUAAGAUUGACCGUUGGAUUAUAUUUAAUUAUUACAGUUCGUGUUACUUGAGGAAGACUUGAGAUUAAUUUUCGAGCAUGCGAACGGUGCUCGAGCUUAGGUCAAUUAUAUUUAAAUUGAGCUUGAUUCAAGUCCGCAUAGAACCAAGUUCAGGCUACUUGGAUUAUUUUGACAAUCCUGAUUAAUUUAUGAACUUACUUCAGCCAAGUUUUUAACUUGCCUAGAUUAUUUGUAGAAUUAAGAGGACAUAUUUGGAAAAUAUCUAGAUUUUUUUGUGCAAAGAAGAAACGAUAGCAGUUUUUUUAUAAAAAAAACACUUGGUUGGUGAAUUAUGUGGUCAGAAACUGACUGGGCCGGUCCACUUGAUCGGCCCAGUCAGUUUGGCCCAACAAAGGAAAAAAAAACUGACAUAUGCUGUGCACAUGCCUGAAGAAAAGAGGACUUCCGAUAGAAGUCUUCUUCCUACCGAUCUCGUCGGAUGGAAUCCAACUCUUGGUCAGAUUCGUGCUGCCCUUAGGCUUAUUGAGAGGCCCUCCCUUGAGUCCUCUCUCAUCCUCAUCAAAGAACCGGCCUCGAUCGGAGUUCACCGUCGGUGUCUUCCGACGAUUUUUCUUUUUGAGCACCGAUCACUUUCGCACCAUUGCAAUAGCCAAUUGCUAUUGGAAGAGCCACUAUCAAGCUACUGCUUUUCUCUCCCUUCCAAACCUUUUGAAACCUAUAUUUUGGUUAAUGAUCGUUGAAAUUUGGCCAAGAAAGGCAACACCCUAUUUUUCUCUAUUUUUGAAAACAAACUAUGUUUCUUCUUAUUUCUGGUGCUUUUUGCCGCCUAUGCUUGUCGCCGAGGCCUCCUUCUAUUUCUCCACAAUAGUUUAUCACCUUGGUUGGAGUUUUGAUUGCCGAAUUUGUCCUGUUUCAUGAUUUAAGAGGUUGGAACCCCUAUUUUGAUCCAUUUUGGUGCUGCUCGCCGCCAGUCACCACAGCCGCCUGUUGGCCUGCCGUGGGUCCGCUAACCCUUGGCGUAACCACCACCACCCUUUCCCUCUCCUUUAUUCUUCCUUAGCUAGAGAGAGACUUUGUUCUCUCUUCCUCUCUUCUUUCUCUCUCUUUCCAUCCUUUCUGUCUUGUUUGUCUCUACUGAAUUUUCUCUCUCUACUUUCUCUAGAGAUGAUAGAUCAAGUAAAAUACUUCUCUUAGUGAUUUUGGAUCAAGCCUGAUGAAGGAUUCUAAUCUAGAGUCAUCAGGCAGCAUGCCAACCCCCACCUUAGCCCUUGCAAAAUACUAUUAAUUUAAUCAUCCCCGAUCUCUGUUGAACUAUAUAUGCCCUAGUUCGAGUAUGAUUCGAUGAAGUCACCUUAAUUAGACCGACCGAGAUGUCAGACAUUUCCGCUUGGUUAGUUCUAUGAGAGUAUUGAAAUUUAGAGUUUUCAUUUUUUUUAAUAAUUAUGCUAAAACUUUAAUAAAAAAUAUAAUUUUUAAAUAAAAGGCUCAGAGGGUAACUUUCAAAAUUUAUUGGACCUAAAAUUUGAUUGCUUUCACGAAGUAGGUAAUAUAACAGUUAAAGGUAGAGCAUCUCCCCCUCUUGCGGCUUGGACAGCAGGGGAGGAGACGCCAUUUGUACUCUUUUUUUAAAAUUUAUUGGCAAAUUUAUGAAUAUUUUUUGAAUCAAAUUAUUCUCGAUUUAUGAACUUGAUUCUUAAUGUUUUAUUAUUAUAUAUGCCUCUUUCCUGUGUGAUUUUUGAUUGAAUGUAUUGAUUUCGAUAUGGAUUAUGUUCGAUUGAUCUUGAUGUCGUAUAAUUUAUUAUUUGGAACACUUAAUAUGCUUUGAGAAAGCAAGUUUUGCUUCAAAACGGAUUUGGACUCGCAACUAGACUAUGUAUCGAUGCCCUGCCAGUAAGGGUUACUUGCUGGUAUAUCGACACCCUACAAAUGGAGAUUAUUCACUAGUAUAUUGACAUCCUACUAGUGGGGCUUAUACGUUGGCAUAUUAACGCCCUACUAGUGGGGGGUUAUACAUUGGCAUAUAGACAACCUGCCAAUGUAGGCACUUUGAUGAGCUCACAUUCUGACCCAACCAUAGGGUAUAAAUAUAGUUGUAGUUCAGGAUUAUCGAGAUGAACUUGAUGAUUUGAAAGAAAUUGAUUUAUGAAAAAGAUUUGAAAUUUGAAAUGACUGGAUAGCAUAUCGAUUUGGUUUUGAAUUGAUAUAUUUUUGCAUUCUUAAUUUUAGUAUGUUAUUAUUAUUUUAUUGCUUGAUUUAUCUAAUUAAAGUGUUCAUUACUUGUUAGACUGUCUAGCUCAUUAUAUAAUUUUUUAUUAUUUUGCAGAUCCGAAAAACUAACUGACUUAAGGAUUUAUCUUGAGAGAGCAAUUAGAGACAAUAUUUUAUUUCAAGGAUUUAAUGCAAGAUUUUGGAAUAUUAUUAGUUUUGUAAAACUUUUUAUUUUGCUAUUUAAUUAAAAUUUGAACGUUAUUAUUUAAAUUAUUUUUGUUGCUGUCUGAUUAUGCUAUCAUAAUGAGAUGUCUUGUAUGCUUGUGGAGCAACUCCGAUGAUUGUGAUAAUUGGUGGAGCACUAAAAUACGGCGGCCAAUAACUUUUUUUCUUCUUCCUCCUCCUCUUUCUUUCUUUUUCAUUGGACAAGCAUUACUACGGAAGGGGAUUUAACGACAAAUCAAAUGCACAAGUUCUAUCUGUUUAAAUGGAUUAGACGUGUGCAUUACCAUUGAUAAAUUUUCAGUUUAGUUACUUCUCUAUAGAUCAAAUAAGCAUCUGCGUAAGGGCCUUUUAGAUGCAUGCCACAAUGCCUAGAGAGGAUGAAUUGGUGAGGAAAUUGUGACAAGAAAUCAGAAGAAUGUGACGCAUCGACCCCAUAAAAAUUUCAAUGCUUUUGGGAUAUCAAAGAAAGACAAUGCCACAAUGCCUGACAACUCCGAUCGGCACUAUAUUAAGACUUAAAGAGCACCAAAUUGUUUUAAUUCGGCAAACAAAUACAUCUGACCAAUUUAUAUUUUGUGGCGAGCCUAGUUUAGUUGGAGACAUCUUGGGCAAGUUGAUAUCUAAAUUACUACGAUAAGCACAUGAUUAGAAGGCUCUCUUGUCUUUAUUUCUGAUCACACUAGAACUUUGACAUGCAGGAUAUUACUCAGCUGAAAAAAAAGUUGUUCUUUUUUCGUGGCCUCUAGGACCUCUGCAGACAUGCAUGAUGCUGUUAAUUUGGAUGAUUCAUACAUGAUGGAACAUUUUAAGUCCGGGCCUCCCCAGACUCACUCUACCUUCCAACCAUGAAACCAUUCGAGCCGACGAUGAAAGAGCUAUCCGACUCUGUCAGGAGCUGGCUAGGAAGUUUUUAUCUCCUGUGUGACAAUGGGUACAAUGGAAGAUAGGCCUUUUGGCUUCUAACCCCCAAGUCUCUGCAGUAAACUAUGUGCUGUAUAUUACCAGGAUUUCUUGCCUGAUGAUAAGAGUACUGAAAGAUAACGUUUUGUAACUAGUGAUAAAUCUAAUUGCACAUAAAAGCUAAUACAUUCAAGAAAAAACAUGCUGAUAGAUGUCCAAAGCAAAUAUUAGCUAAACUUCUAAAAUGGAUGCUAUCUCAGUCACAUGAAAACUUUGGAGAAGCUUUUUUUCAAAAGAUCAGGCAUGCAAAUAUUUGAGUUGCUGGCAUUUUUUAACAGUAAUCAUAUGCAUACGGUUUACUUCUGAGAAAGCAAUGUCAUCUUCGGUAAACAGCCUCCAAAUAUUUGAAGUAUAAUGAAACCAAGUUAACUUUCAACACGAAGGGAUAAAAUAGAAUAAAGAAAAAUCACCAAUCAAAUUGUGGAAAAAUGAAUGCCAGUCACUACAACAAUCAUCAAAUUUGACACAUAGAAUACAUGCAAGGAUCUGAAUGCCCUUUGACGCAGGCUUCCCCAUGCACCCAUGCUACCAUGCUGCACAACAAAUAGAACUCACUGAGUCAGAUUCCUUCCAGAAACUAAUUUCUAAACAGCUAAGCCUGUUUUUGUUUUUUUUUUUUCAGGCCCCCUCAUGGUGUUUGAGCAUUUGAGUCCUUGGACUUCUCUGAUGAUGGCCGGUUCCCCGAGUCAGAGUGCCGGACCUCCUCAAUCAUUCUAAUCACUUCCUCCAUUCUGGGACGUUGAUCUGGAGCCCUUGCAACACAUGCCAUCGCAAUCUGAAGCAUCUGAACCAUCUCUUCCUCGAUGUUCUGAUACCUCAUCAGCUCCACAUCAAAAACUUCUGCAGUCCACUCUUCCCGGACAACAGACUGUACCCAUCUUGGUAGAUCCACAACAUCAUCACGUCCUGGAGAUUGAAGCGGAGCUUUUCCGGUGAGCAUCUCAAGGAGUAGGACGCCAAAGCUGUAGACAUCAGAUUUCUGAGUGGAUUUUCGAGUCUCGAUGACUUCGGGUGCACGGUAGCCCACCACAAUUCGGGAGGGAGUUGCAUGGGUGUUCAUAAGGGGAGCAAGGCCAAAGUCAGAUACGCAAGCUUCAAGGUCCUGGGUGAGGAGGACAUUAGAAGCUUUGAUAUUGCCAUGGGUGAACUUUCCACCUCCUUCAGUGUGUAUAUGUGCUAUGCCACGUGCAGCUCCUACUGAGAUCUUUACCCGGGAGUCCCAGUCCAAUGGAGUUCUUCCAGCACCCUUGUUUCCUAUAAUUUAUGUUUGAAGGGAGAUGACAAUAAGGCAAAUUGGAUCAUAAAAUUUUUAUCACAGUAAAGUUAUAAAACUUAACUUUAAUCUUCAACUUUCUUUGCAAACAAGGAGGUUAGCACAUAUCUUAUUUAUGGUCAACUUAUUAUAAUAUGGAUCAACUAAUGAAAUUGAGUACUCAAGAACAACAUGCCAGAUUACUCAAAACAAUUUUUAACUGUAUACGUUGAAGUAAUUUCAGGACAAAUAUGGUCUAUUUGAUAGAGAAAAGCAUGCGAUAUUAAUUUCUCAUAAUGCAAGGUUUCUGACUCUCAGAAAUGGCAUUAAAUUUCUAUUACAUACAUCAUUAAGAUAGCAACAAGUCCCAUUUAUUUGAUCAUGAAUGAUAUUAUAGGUAUGUGAAGGGAAUUGGGUAAAUAUAUUUCUAAAAUCUAGCUUACAUUUUAUGCACAAAGUUUGACUCUUUCAGAUCAAGUACAUGGAAGUUUUUUCAGUUGCAAAAUAGAAUUAGCUGUUGAUUGAUCUGGGACAAAAUACACCCAACUGACAUAGCUAGCAUAACUAUCAACUCAUUUGUACUUAUAAGGAUUGGUUCCUCACCACUUGUUAAUCAUCUUUAAGGAUCACACAGUCGUAAUUCAGUGAAACUAAUGUUAAAGUAAUAAUGAAACAAUCUUAGUUCCUAUUGAAUCAUCUAUGGCUAGCCUAGUAUAAAAUGAUGUUUUGGAUCCAUAGGGACAUGAUUAAAAUUGCACCGUAGACCAAUAUACCUAUGGGACACCUACUUGUAAUUUUUGCAUACAUUACUGUCUCCUCAUGAAGCACAAAUGAUCGAACCAGAUAAGACAGAGUUCUUAGACAGAACUGAACAAAGGAGCCAGAACAACUGUAAUGAAAAUUGUCUAUUUCUGCUCUUCUAAGUAGGAAGCUGAAGCAUGAGCAGUUCCAAAUUGCAAAUUUAGGGCCUUCAUGAUGUUAACUACGUUAAGUGUUGAUUACAUCAGACAAAUUAUCCUAAACUGCAAAAUAAGGAUUCCAUGGAGAUACGCCAAGCUAUUCAACCAUUUUAUGGUUCUUUUAAGUAUAAUUUGAAAAAAUGCUAUGGGACGAUAUUAUUCUCAAAAUAUAUGUCAAAUGCAAAACAAAACUAUAACAUCAUUGUCAAAAACCGUAAAAUAAAAUUCCAAUCUUAAUCUGGGACUCGGAAUAUAUUAAGCCUGGUCAAUUCCUUUAGAAGGAGUGUCAAUGGUUUACUGCAUAAAAUGUUGUCAAAGUGCAUGAAUACAGCAAGCUUAUCUCCAAGCCACAAGAGUACACAUAUGCAACACCCAUCAGAGGGAUAAACCAGCCAGUUCUCAUUCAUCUUACUAAGAGUGUGCAAAGCCUGAUGAACAAGAGUUAGACAUGACCUCAAGCAACACAAACGAGCAAUGGCUUUGCAGCAAGUAUGUCUGCUAGUACCAGGGCUACCACAAAAAGGCUUAAAUAGCUCUCUCUAAGAAAGUUUGGCCAAGGAUCUGUCUUUCACAAAUUAUGCCAACCAGACUUCAUAGGAGGACCCUUUAAAACUGAAAAUCACAAAUUGUUGGAGAGAUGAAUAAUAAGGAGUCGACAUAGGAAGUUGUAGAACACGAGAGAGGAGAGGUUUCAUAAGUGUUUAUAAACACUCCAAUGGGCAAGUCCAAUGUACCUUCACUCUUAACCUAAAAAAGUGUUUGCUCUAAUUUUGUCCAUAAGAACCGAUACAGUGUCCUAGCAUGCAUCAUUUUACUACCUUUAAGUGACUGCUUCAAUGUCUUUAUCUAGCACUAGACUUUCUCUGCUUUUCCUACAAAGAAAUUUCAUCACACAAAAACUAUGGGAAAAAAAUGGUGCUAUACUAGAAAAGGAGUUAAAAGUGCACAAGUCCGACCAUGGCUCAAAACAGAAAUACUAUCAAGGGAUGCAAUCACCAAGGUUGGUAUGAGCACAAUAAUAGCAUAGUUAGGUGCACUGAGGUACAUGACUCAAACCAAGGCCCUCCAAUGUAACAUCAGUGAUAUUCAUCAACCUGUUAAGGCCAUCAAAGCCAUCCAAUGUGUUUGCAAUAUGUAAUUUGAUCUUGAUGGCUUUUUUCUUUUCCAGCAUUGCACAAUGCACACUUGUACCUACCAAAGUUCUCUAGUCCUCAAGUUCUCUCACAUAUAUGGAAAAAAGUAGGGUUUUAUAAAUAAAUGAAGUUUUUAGCUGGUUACACAGCAAACCACAAUAAUAUAAAUUCCGAUUUCUCAUGGGCUGGACUUCUAGAAACCGAGCUUUUCAAAUGUAUCCAUGAAGAUAGAGCUUAUCAUAUGAAUAACUCAAUGUCACCAGGACUAAUUGGUUUUUACAGCACUAGUUAAUCUACAUCAGUUGUCACCAAAUCAUGUUUUGGCAAAAUUAGAUAGACCAAUCAGUCAUUUGUGGGACUCUGGCAAAAAUAAAUUGCUUCAUUUGGCAAUAUUAGAGAACCAACGUGGCAUAUUGAAUCAUAUUACUAAUCAUUUGCAGAUGGCUGUUCAGUCUGAAAAAAACAAAUUGUAUUAUGAUGCUCAUAUUUGGCAUUAUAAGAACAUUAGCAUCAACAAUAAUGUUAAGUAGAUUCUUAAACAUAUCUGAUCUCUAAAGAUUUUAUAUAGUUUGGCCUUCUAUAUUCACCAACUUGGUUUGUCUGAUGUUUGUGCAACAAGCAAUCAGACUUUCUGUAUUACACAUAUUAACCAAUAGGCCACAAUAUGAUUUCAUUUUCCUUAGUAAAGCAGUUCACUAUUACUAGACAAAAAUAUAAAUGACUAAAGAGAUGGGAGUUUAAAUAGGCAUACCAUGCAAGAGGGUGGAGAAGCUGCCAGAGGGAACAUAGUCAUAAACAAGAAGCUUCUCAUCCUUGGAAUAGUAAUAAGCACGAAGCGGCACAACAUUUGGGUGCUGCCCGACUCUUCCUAUUAUUUCCAUCUGCUGCUCAAAAUCUCUCUUCCCAACAACCACUUCUUUCAACCUUUUCACCACUACCGUCGUACCAUCUUCAAGAACAGCUUUAUAUGUAGUCCCAUAACUUCCCUUCCCAAGAACUUCAGCAGAAGCUCUUAGUAGAUCUUCGAGGUCAAAAUUAUAUGAACAGCCCUCAAAGAAAACCAACUUGUUUUUCUCAGCUUCUUGAACCCCACUGCUGUACUCCUCUUUGGGUUUUUCACUCCUUCCACCAGCAGGACCCUUUCCCUUUGACACUAUGCUGCCCUCCUUAUCUCUCCUCUUCAAAAAGCAUACCAGAAGUACAAUAGCCAAUACAAACAGCAGGGUUCCUCCUCCAGCAGCAAUUGCAAUAAUGACUCCUGUACCUAAUUUUUUCCAAAAGCUUUUUCUGGGCUUCGAGGGGAAUGCUGGUGGUGGUGACAUUGGUGAUGGUGAAGGAGCAACUCCUGGGCAUUGUGGUAGAGGGGAACCACAUAGCAAAGGAUUUCCUAGAAAUGACUCAACUGGGAAUCUGUGGAGAGAAAUCGGUAUCUCACCACUGAGAUUAUUGUAGCUCAGAUUCAAAUGCCUUAGCUUGGGAAGUUGAAGGUCAGGGAUGGGUCCAGAAAGAGAGUUAUUCUCAACAUACAAUGCAGUAAGUUGAGUAAGAUUUUGAAUCGUCAGUGGAAUUUCCCCCAUGAAAGAAUUAUAGGAGAGGUCAAGGAAGGUGAGGUUGGAAGACAGUGCAGUAGGUAUAAUUCCAGAUAAAUUGUUGUGCUGAAGGAAGAGAGAGUGCAGCGAAGGAAGUGAUGCAACAUCUGGAGGAAGAUGUACAGUAAGGCGGUUGGAUCGGAGGCUCAAAACUUUAAGCGCAUCAAGCUGUCCAAGCGUGUUAGCAGGAAUUGGGCCUACGAGCCCAACCGCUGGUAGACGAAGGGUAAGUACACGGGAGUGAUUUGGUGUACAUGUCACCCCAACCCAAGAAGAGCAGAUUGGGGUCUUAGAACUCCAAUUUAAUUUGUGUCCAUGAGGGAUUGCUGCCGCAAAGGCAAGAAGGGCUUCCUUAUCAGAAUUCAAGUCAGCACUGGUCAGAGAGGGAAGGCAUAGAAGGAGACAAAGAAAGGGAAUUGAUGUAAAGACAAAGAGGUGAUCCAUGACUAAAUUUCUAGAAGAGUACAAGGAACUCAAUUAUUUUAGUCACUGGUUCUUCCAAUCCUGUAGCAGUCAAAAAAAAAAGGAAAAAGAUUAUAAAAGACUAUGCAGAUAAUAUGGACAUUAGAAUCAUAGAAAAACAACUGCAUAUCGUGCUUCUCAGCAACAUUCAUGGAUUUCUCCAUCGAUAGUCACAAAAGAAAGAAGAGUGGGAAGUAAAGAAUGACAUAAAAUAUAUCAAAGCAAAAAAAAAAGGAAGGAUGCCUUACCUAAAUGUUAUCCUAUUAAAAGGAAACCUGGCAUUAGAAAAAAGAACAAAUCAAUGUCUAGAGUAGCAAUCAUCUUUCAUUUUUCAAAAAAGAAAUUAAAGAAGAAGAAGAAGAAGAAGAAGUAUGUAGUCUUCUCAAAACUUUAGAUGCCUAAAAAAACAAAUGUGAUUCAUUAAGACCUGGAAAUGAUCCAAUUGCUAGGCGAGAAUAUCAGGAAAAGAUCAAGCACUGUGAUAAUUGCUACGUAGGGGACCAUCUUAACUACCGGUUAGCUAAUCUCUCUCUCAUUGAAGUGAACAAGGAGGUUCUUCUUGUCUGUUUCUUUUCACAUCUAAGCUUCAAAAUUCUUGUUACCCUAACAAAAGGGCAGUGGGGUCAUUAUCAGAGCAAAAUAACAGGAGCCUCUCAUAAGGAAAACUCUGGUCUUUCUCAAAGAGUGAAGAGAAAAGCAAACCCAUUUAUUUUUACAAAUAAAGUCAGAGUGCUCGAGACAAUGGUUUCAGAGAAAUUCAUCAGCAUCCAAAUGGAAGAAAAGAAAAGCCCAAAUGCAAAACUCCAAAAAUAAUUUGCACAAAGAAUGUAUUAAAAAAUUCUGCCCACAAUACCUCAACCCAUCUACUGCCAUACUGAAAUGGAGCAGCAAAUAAUGCAUUGCUUACCUAAAAACAAUCAAUGCCCCGAAAGGUCAUCCCAAAGCAAAAGCACAGGCAGUGUCAACUUUCUUUUCAGAAAAAAGGACCAAAGCUUGGAGCUUUGGAGCAGGGGAAGGACUUCGGUAAAAAAAUGGAUAGGUAACAUGGGCCAACCCGGCGUAUGUUAGACUCCCCCAAUUUAAAGACAACGACACAUAAAACUACUACAAGCACACAGAGAUAAACCAUUUAAAUCUUAAAAAAAUUCAAAAAUCCAAUGUCCUAAAUCUUAAUCUCACCUAAUUCAAAGAGCAGAAGCCGAUUCCAUCAGCUCCUCCCUCCACCAAUUUUUCAAGGCUUCAUCAGUCGAGCAGUGGCAUGGCAAUCUUCAAAAAUCUGAAAAAGGAUUCUCACUUUUCUACAUAAAAACCAAGGAAGAAUCAGAAAGAAGGCAUUCAAGGCUACUAAACACUAAAUUGAAUCAUACCUGGGACUAUCCACAGCAUCCAAUUGAAAUAACUCUCAGAAACAACUCGAAACUGGAAUGCGACCAAACAGUUCAAGACCGGAACCCUGGAAGCCACCGUUAUAAGCCUUAGCUUAGAGGAGCUUAACAAACAAUCGAGAUUAUCCAGAACCCGUGAACUAAUUCUCCAACUGGAAGCGGCUUAUGGCUCCCGGCGCUUAAAAAUGCGACCUUUCACCAGAAAAAAAAAUAAUAAGAAAAAGGCAGGUCUCAAAAGAAUCAGAAAGAAGCACCGAACAGGAGGGCAAUUUGACAACAUUGCUCCACGAACCUGGCCUCAAAAGCUCCAAAUCCUCCGUUACAGCCGGAAACCAGAGCUCCAUGUCCCCGAAACAAAGGAAACCCGUGUAAAACUCGCGGAAUUAUUCUAAGAAACCGAUCUUUCUGGUUUUUCCGGAAUCAACGAAAUUAGGCGGAACAGGACGAGAUUUCUCCAAGGAACUCGAAGUAUCCCAUUCCCUCCAAGGAGCAACCUCCAAAGCUCUCGCCCGCGCCCGCGCCCCCGCCCCCGCCCCCAGCUCCCAAUAUCGAUUCUUUAAGCCACCGUGUCUGCCAUUAAAGUAAGAGAGCGAAGGAGUGAGAGAAGUGAAGCGUAUUGAAGGAAUUGGUUAUGGAAACGCCCUUGCCAAAUGUAAAUUUACGAGUCUAGCCUCGGGCAGGUGCAAGCGUAAAGUCUCUGUGGGGUCACGCGCAUCACGCGUGAUGGAGGAGGGCCGAAGGCCUGGGUGUUCUCCCAGUGAAAUUAGAGCCGUCGGAUUGGUGUGUCCCCUCUAAUAUAGCGGGCCCCACUGGCCCUAGACCUGGUCUUGGGAGCACCGCCGCCGAAGGUAGCGUUCCUGGAGCUUUGACCAUUCUAAUGCUCAAAAGGCCCCACUACACUCCCAAAUGUCGCCAUGUGGCGGGAGGGGAGUGAUGCUAUUCGCGAUCUCCAGUUACACGUGGCUGCGAAAAGAGCUCGCCUAACGUAGUUGGUAAUAUACCAGAGCAUUUUCCACGUUACCGGGUCCCAUUUGUACACCCACUCCCAGCACUGGGCCCCACCUUGCGUUAGGGUAGAGGAUUUGUUUACAUUUUGCCUUCUGAAUUCUUUCUUGGAAUGAAACAGGAAUGAGCUCUGGAAUAAGUUUUAUUCCCCUUGAAAAGAAAGAGGAGGCCAAAGGGAAUUGAAUCAAACUUUGUUCCUACGAUGGGGAACCUGUUUAUUUCUAUCCUCGGUCUUAGAUUUAUUCCAGCAAGAAUUUUGAAAAAAAAAAAAAUCCACAAAACAGAGAAGAGUAACUAUAUUUAUCCCACCUUUUCUUAUUCAGAUGGUAGCAGGGAAUUGGUUGAGUCCUCUGCAGACAUCCAUGCAGCUUGAUUGUGAAAAAGCCAUGCCAAUGCAUACGGCCUUAUGUACUGACAUGGUAACAUGGGAUUGACAACAUACAGCAGCAAAAAAUAAAAAGGAAUAGCAAACUAAAUUCAGAUGCUGACGUCUCCUACUUGGACAUAUUUGUUUGGAGGCAGAUGAUUCUAAAAUUAUCGGAAUUAGCAAGCUGAUAUCUUUCACUGUCCCCAACCAACCUAGUUUAAUAAAGAUUAAAUCUUAAAACAAACGAAGGAGGCCUUGGAGACUUUGGAGGAGAAUCUAAUUAUUAACAAAGAUGACAAGGGAUGCACUGUUGGCAUCUGAAGGCCCUGAUUCAUAACAGCAUGAUGAAGCAAAAAAAGAAAGGGGGAUGGACUUUGGCAAUGAGGUUGUAAUUGAGAGAUAAAAUAGUGGAAGGACGAAAAAAAAGAGAGAGCAAAGUCAAGUGGUGGAAGAAAGGAAUAUCAUAAUAAGGAAUAUCUGAGUCCCCGCAUAAAGACAUGAAUGAGAGGAUGAGAAAUUUUUUUAUUAGGAAGGAAUCAGAAGGUUAAAGAAUUAGUCGUUCCAUGGUCAUGCUGAUGAUUGAUGGCUUAAUGUAAGAGAUCAUACUUCAGAGAUUAUAGGCAUGCUUUAUAAUUGGAAAGGGAUGUUUAGAUGUGAAUUAUUGCACGAAAGGCAUGGAAACUAGUUAAUAAUAACUCCUGGAAUUAAGAAACUUAGCUUCCAAACAAGUUACAUGCACAUGAAGUUGGAAGUUGGGCCAUUUUGAGGCACUUGCUCUACAUUUGACUCUAAGCAAGUUGCUUGAAAGCCAGCAGCUCAUCUGCGAAGCCCUCGGAAUGCAUUAAUCAUCAUGCCACUUAGGACUCACGAUUGUUUACUUACUCAGAUAUUAAGUUAUUGUAAUCCUACUCGCAUACUCAUAUACAAUCUAUAGAUAGCCAUCAAAUAUGCAAUUGCAGUUGAACCAAACAACCAUCCAACUCUUGUCAGGCAAUAAACACAUUAUACAAUAUGCAGUGCGAUUAAAUAACUUAGAUACCAUGUAAUUCUCUCCUCUUUUUGAAGGAUAGAGGCUCUGUUAAAAAAAAAUUCACAUUCUACAGUAGAGUAGAUGCUAGUACAAAAUGGUCCUUUGACCCCAAAAAUGACCCCCCAGCAGCUCAGACUGUCCUAUUGAAGGUGGUGGGUGGUUCCCUCAACAAAUGCUGGUAUCCUAUGGUGCAUCUGCCUCAGAGUUUGGGAAAUGGCAAGGAAAGAACCCGCCAUGAGAGCAUCAUCAAGUCUUCAACCCCUUUAAUUUCUUCUGUUCACUGAAUCAAAGAAAAGCCCACACAGUACAAUUACCCAGUCUUCCUUUUCUGGUAGAUAGAAUCUACUUAAUUUUCAAAGUUAGAGCAUCUCUUCGUCAAACAAAAUGAGAGCAUCUACCUGCUUCAAUUUACUCAGUUUGCAGUCCUAGCGACAGCAUUUAUUUCCGAAAUGAACCGCCUAUGUUAUGUAUGUAGAAGAUACACUCAUAAUAGCCUAGUUGCAUGUUAAAUAAGUGGGGUAGACUCUGUUUCUGCGUACUUUGCAUCGAAGCAACUCAGACUACCAAACAACAAGAAGCUAUUACUAAUUUUUCAAUCAAAUGGAUGCUAUCCUAAGCAAGUUAUAUCAUGUGGUUGCCUUCUUUUAUUUCUAACUACUCAACCAUUUGAGAGUCUCCAAUUAAUUAAUCAUGGCUCUUUGGGCAUUCUUUCUCUAUGCAGGGAGCCAAAGAAGAUAUUUAAUGAAUAGAUGGACGCAUAUUAGCUCCAGUAGGUAUACUUGCAUUAAAUUAUUCAUGUUGAUUCUAAGAUCUCUUUGUCAAAGGCUUGAUCCUGGUGAACUUGGCUUUUACUACAUAUGUUCAUCAUCCAAUGAAUUUUAAAUCAGCACAUAUUACGUUAAAUUAUUAAUGCCUUUAUAUCAUUCUUCCAUCCGCUCCAUAGGAAAAACUUUACGUUUGAAUUGAAGCAAUGAAGCUUCUAACUUGGUUGCUCCUUUUUUUUUCUGAUCGUUUUCCCCAAUUCCAACCGCAAGAAUUUGCACCUUAAAAGAGCAAUAAGCAGCAAAAUUCACUAUUGGACCACGGCAUAUACAGUACAGGCUAGUGCCAGUGAAGUAGCUUACAUGCAAGAGCUGUCACCUUUAAUACUUAUAGCCUUCACGUCAGUUUGUGGUUCCACGCCUUACCUUCCAAUAGCAAUUACACCGUGAUUAGAAUCUUAGUUGAAGUCCAAUCAAACUUAAUCUUCAUUGUUACGUAGCUCAUCAUCAGUUGCAGAAAACCCCAUCUCGUUUCCCAUUUUCAGGGAGAGCAAGCAACGAAUAACUGCAGUGUUAGCAUCAUGCCAUUAGCUUACUGUAAAACAGUGCCAUGCACAUCACUAACUACAAGUUUUAUUAUACUAACUGUGUAAGGACUGUACGGACAUAUGUUUAGUCUCAUAUUGAUUAUUUGCCAAAAAAUUUAACUAAGAAACUAAAAAAAUACCUUCCGGCUAGCUAUUUUGGAUAAGAUCUUGAAUUGUUACAAAUGAUAUCAGAGCGAACUCGGUCCAUUGCCUAUGUGGACUAGGAGUCACUGUAGCACGAGUUCAUGAAGGCUGACCACGGGCCAAUCGGGGUACUUGUGAUUAGAUUUGAAUAGAUUUGAACCUUUAGCAUGACACAGACGUUAGGGCUUGAAUGGAUGGAAUAUGUGAGAACCCAUGCGGGCAUGUAUUUAGUCUCACAUUGGUUAUCCGCCAAAAAAUUUUUAGAUACUUAUACAGAACUAAGAAACUUAAAAAUACCAUCCGGCUAGCCAUGUUGCGCUGCAUUCCUUGCGGUAGAGUUGAGUUGCUGGGUACUGAGUCAGAAAACAAUUUAAAAUCACUUGAGAUGUUGCAGUGGUGCAUCACGGCACAUGCUCCAAUGGUCUUUGAAAUUCGAAUUUAUGGUUUGGGACUUUGGAGGGUGAAGUGCUUACACGGCCCGGCUCUUCUUUAGGAUUGAUGACAAUAGAUAAUAAUUUUGACCUGAUCAAAAGCACUGCGAGGAGAUGAUUAGAGCAGGGAAGCUUUUUUCGAGGGGCACAAAAGCCGGCUUUUUGCUAGUGAUUUCAAGAAACAGCUCACCUUAUGAUUUUAAAAGUGAUUAUUACUUUGAGGUUCGUCGGAUCAAAGCUUAUGUACGUUUUCCAAGAUUAGGGAGCAAAAUAGAAAACUUAUUUGGUAGGUCGCUUGGUCAGCGCUUUGCAGAAGAAAGAACCUUUGAGGACCGCGAACUAGGGGGCCCAUAUGUUGGCUAGCUGUGCUAUCAAGUUUGAGUUUUCUUAUUUAAUUUGGGCUAAAUCUACCUCUUAUGAUAGUUAUCAAGAUUUGGAUUCUUAUUUCUUGUUCUAAAUGUCAAAUAUUUUAUUUUUCUUUUUCGUUUAGUCUAAGUGAUGGUCAAAUAAAUUUUAGUAAUAUAUAUAUAUAUAUAUAUAAAUUCAUGAGUUGCAAGGAUUCACAGGCACAGCCUUAACUCCUUUCUUUUGAAUCUACUGAUCUCAACUGGUAUUGAAGGAGUUUCGGAGUGUAACUAUGUUCUCCAGUGGCAGAGUUUUUUUAAAAAAAUUUACUUUCUGUAUUAUAAGAUUAUCUGCCUUAUAUGCUCUAGUUAUCUAUUAGAAAAAUAGAUAAGUGAGGUCAAUGUCUUCUCCUCACCUACUUAGUUUGGCCCAGUGGUGGGUAUCAUCCACCUGGACAAGCUUUUGAGCUCAAAAUUAUAGGCAUAAUGAUGUAGAGAAUGCCUCGAAAAGAAGAAGAUUACAUUUAUUAGUGGAGCAGAAGGCAUGAAACUGAGGCAGUCGCAAGGUUAUAUAUGACCAACUACUAAAUAAAACUAAUCAUGGAACCAUGGGCGUACAAUUUAAACGAGACAUAAGUUAUGAUGUGUAUAUCCAAUUUUCAUGCUCUUGGUAUUUGUCAACGGUUGUUGGUGUCAUGCCACCGCUUCCGUGGAGCAUGUGAGGCACCUAAUGCCCACGUGGGAGCCACAUGAGGGGAAAAAUAUGGAGCUUCCCUGCUAGAUAUUGUUCGGUUUCAGAGUUUCAUGCAAGUAGGAGUGCAAAUGAGUCGAGUGGGAUCAGGUUCUGAGUGACUCCGAUUCGAUCUUCUUUUUUGUUCGAAUUCUAAUUUUGGACUCAGAUUCAAUCCGAUUGAAGAAUGGAUCGGGUCGGAUCCGAGUCGGACCCAGAUCUAAAUCGGGUCGGAUUCGAAUCCGAAUUAAAUCUAUUUCUCCGUGCUUUUGAAAAGAAUUUGGGCAAAUCUAAUUUGGUCACAUCAUAAUUAUGAGGUGCUGGGUGACCCAGGACUUGAAAGACUCAAUUGACCUCCAGUCAGAACAGAUGACCCAUGACUUACAAACUAAGUCGGUCUACGAGCCAAAUUUCAUAUCACACUAUUUUUUUGUCUAUAUGGCUGAUUGGACGGAACUUGGUGUCUCCCAGCUCCCCUCUCGCGAGGACAAAAAAAUCCCAGACCUUCUUCCAAAAUCCGAUUCCAUUGCAGAAAACUGGCACAUGACCCAUAUUCAGUUCUGUUCCCCCACUUCCUCCCUGCAAAAGUUAAAAAACAAAACCAAAAACAGUAGAAAAAAAAAGCCAGCCACCGAGACACCAGAGGUAUCAACAGUGUAAUAGAUCGAGNNNNNNNNNNNNNNNNNNNNNNNNNNNNNNNNNNNNNNNNNNNNNNNNNNNNNNNNNNNNNNNNNNNNNNNNNNNNNNNNNNNNNNNNNNNNNNNNNNNNNNNNNNNNNNNNNNNNNNNNNNNNNNNNNNNNNNNNNNNNNNNNNNNNNNNNNNNNNNNNNNNNNNNNNNNNNNNNNNNNNNNNNNNNNNNNNNNNNNNNNNNNNNNNNNNNNNNNNNNNNNNNNNNNNNNNNNNNNNNNNNNNNNNNNNNNNNNNNNNNNNNNNNNNNNNNNNNNNNNNNNNNNNNNNNNNNNNNNNNNNNNNNNNNNNNNNNNNNNNNNNNNNNNNNNNNNNNNNNNNNNNNNNNNNNNNNNNNNNNNNNNNNNNNNNNNNNNNNNNNNNNNNNNNNNNNNNNNNNNNNNNNNNNNNNNNNNNNNNNNNNNNNNNNNNNNNNNNNNNNNNNNNNNNNNNNNNNNNNNNNNNNNNNNNNNNNNNNNNNNNNNNNNNNNNNNNNNNNNNNNNNNNNNNNNNNNNNNNNNNNNNNNNNNNNNNNNNNNNNNNNNNNNNNNNNNNNNNNNNNNNNNNNNNNNNNNNNNNNNNNNNNNNNNNNNNNNNCGUCUGCAGGAUUUGGAGACACCCGCCUUAUAUGCCCAGGCUUUGGAACAAGUCUUUCCGAUGUGAAACUAUUAGGCCUCACACCCUUCCCACCAUCGGACAAGAGUCGUCCUUGGCUCUGAUACCAAAUGUCACACCCCCGCCUCCAUGGAGCACAUGAAGCACCUAAUGCCCACGUGGGGGCCACAUUAGGGGAAAAAAUACGGAGCUCCCCUAUCAGAUAUUGUCCGGUUUCGGAGCUUCACGCAAGUAUCCUUCACCCCUUCCCAAUUUUGUUUUCCUCCCAAAACGUGUCUGCAGGAUUUGGAGACACCCGCCUCAUAUGCCCAGGCUCUGGAACGAGCCUUUUCGAUGUAGGACUAUUGGGCCUCACAGUUGGACUCUUUCUCUUUGGCCGCUGCUGGACUUAUGCAUGGUAUCAAACAAGUUGGAUUCCUUAACCAGUUUAUAAAACAAUUUCUUCCAAAAUAACCGCCCAAUUUUGCUUCCUACCUUCACAUACACUUUGGAGAAAAUGUUCAGUUUUACUAAAGACUUCAGACAGGACCAACCAAGAAAAUACUGGUUGAUUGUUAUAUGUAACAUACACCAACAAAUUCCAUUAGAAGAUGCAAGUUCUUGAUUAUAAUGUCCAUUUACAGGAGUCCCAUGGUACAAGAUAUUACUAGUUGAUGGAUAUACAAAGUCAGCAUAAAUCAGUCGUAAGCCACCAUGCCUUUGCAAUUAUUUGCAAUUGGCAUCAUAACUAUUUCUUUGCCCAUAAUUCCAUCCAAAACUCAACUGUUUGCCACUGGAGGCUUCUUCAAAAUACUCCUAAUACACAAACUCAUCCAUAGAGUCUCAAAUCAUUCACUCUUUCGUGACCUUAGCAAAGCCUCCCUGGUUUGGCGUCAUAAAUAGAUACCAUGCCCAAACACAACAGGAAUACAUGCAUUCGAUCAUUCAAAUAGCGAUACAAUGCCAUGGCAGACAAUGUGCUAAUCUUCAUAUGUGCUGAAGAUAAACAAGUCCACUUUUCUAUAUAAAACCAGUCAACAGAUGAAGUUUACAAAGAAAAUAGUAGAUCUAAUUCCGACAUCUUACCGAUUACACAUCAAGAACCGAAUUUGAAUCCUAAAAUCCAUAGAUUCAAGAACUUGAGGGUUUAGCUGUAGGGUCCAGAGUCAUAUGUUUUAUGGACAUGGCUAGUAGGAAGGAUUUUCUCAGUUCAAAGACUUAUCAAACUUCCAGUAUCUCUUGGUUCAACGGGGAAGAAAAAAAACACACACCAUCCAAUCCAGGGAGCAUCUUCUAGAAAUAUGAAGAUCAGAACCAAGAAUUAAAAAAUCAAAUGUUACAAAUAUUACACAGACAACAACAAGGGAAUCGUCAUAGAGGAUCAAAAGGUUCUGGGGGAGGCUCAAAUCGAUGAUCGAAAGGGCUUUGGUCGGACUUAUCCUCAACACUGUGCAACCAACUUGUGUUCUUUGAAUCCUCUUUCAUCAACAUGGCAUCAUACUGGUAGCUACCAUCGAGAUCUAGCUCACCCACACUCUCCCUUGUCCUGAGGCUUUCCCUGUCUGGAGACCUAGACAUACUGUCUCCAUUAUAUGACACAGAUCUGUUGCAGUCUCCAGAAAAUGUUUCAUUACAAUUGCCAUUCUCUGCAGAGUCUUCAUCACUUGUCAGAGGAACUAUGGGUUCCGACAUACGAGCUGGUCUUCCUUUUGGAGCAGCAGAGCGAAUGCUACGAGGAAAGAGGGAAGCACCCCGAAUGCCCCCCAGGCUUUGUCGAAUGUCCUGUGUUAACAAAGAAAAGAAGAUUUCAGAAUUGUAACAUACCAUGCAGCAACAGUCUUUAUAUUUAACAAGCUAUAGUAUCCAGUCUUCCCUCAGAACUAUGACAAUAAAAUACUUUCAUUGGAAAGUCCAAAUGCUUAAUAAUAGUAGGAGCCACCUGUAUGCAUGAAUUAGUGGAUGUUCAUAUCACCAAAUGCUAGCAGGGAGAAGGAACACAACGUACCAUGUGCCUGAGAGCCAUAUCAAGCGACUUCUUUGAGAUCGUCCUUCCAAACCCGGUGCUCUCUGUGGCUGCAGCUGGCCUUAUAGGCUUACGAGUUCCAGACUCUGAUACCAUAGAUUUUCGCAUUUCAGGUGGCGUGGUCUGGUGUCCAUUGUUCUGUGAUAAAACCUUGGGUGGAUUCUCUGGGAACCUGCUCCGAGGGGCAAUAGGCAAAGACAGCCUCCGAUUUGAACUCACAGAAGCUACUGUCUCAGAGUUUGAACUUGAAUUUGACCGAACUGUCAGCGCCAUUCCUGGACGCAUCCUGCCAGCAGAAGCUGGCCGUUCAGGCAACUUUGUCCUCAGGUUAGGCGGCGUAUCAAGUGAAAAAUCUGGGAGAUCAACUGGGCGCACUGGAGCUCGGGACCGUGGACUAGGGGAGCUGGGACGUGAUGAAGGUGCUGAAUUUCGGCCAUUUCUGGCUGAGAGCCGCCCAACAGAUGGGGAACGCCCUGUCGUCGGGGCUAGUGUUGGUGCAGCAGGCUGGCGAGUGGGGGUUGAUGGUCUUGAAUUCAAGCGGGCUACUGAAGAAUUUGAAUUUGAGAUAGAAUUGGUGGCAGCUUGGAGUCGUGAGGUUGGAGUUGAUGGCCUAGAACCAUGUGAAGGUCCAGAUUUAAGUCCUGGAGCGCUGGGGGUUGCUCGAGUUCUGACUGGAGUGGAUGAUCGAGUCGGUAUGGGACGUGAGGUUGGAGUCGAUGGCCUUGCAGUUGAGAGGGUAGCUGGUAUGGAACGUGAGGUUGGAGCCGAUGGCCUUGCAGUUGAGAGGGUAGCUGGUAUGGGACGUGAGGUUGGAGUCGAUGGCCUUGCAGAUGAGAGAGCAGCUGCUCGGCUCCCUGGGGUUGAUGGCCUUGAGGUUACUGAGGCUGAGCUAGUGUCAAGGACUGAUGUUCUGUUAGUAUUAGAGAAAUUGCUGGAAGAGAUGGAAGGCCGGGUCACCGAACCACUCCUGGCUGGCCUUGUUGAAUGGCCAGUCUCGGACUGAGAAGCAGGGAGCUGCAACAAGAAUGAGAAAUUGAGAUGUUUUAUUUAUUUAUGAAUGAACACAUGGGUGUAAGAAUGACACAACUGAAACAAGAGCAGCUUAAAAGGUUACAAAGUAAUACAUGCAUUAACAGAUACGAAUUAAUACUCUCCAAGGGAUGUUGACUUAAUCCCCAAUCCAUAUAAAUUUGUGAAAUUACCAUUUCCUAUAACUAAACCAGAAUUGAUCGAUCUAACAAAAAGGUAGGUAGGUGAGUGGCGAGAGUCGAGACUAUGAUUCACCAGUUCUCUGGCAUAGAAAGAAUGCCGCAUGAGAUACAGUGAUAUUUAAGCUUUACAUGAGAUGAAACUAAAUGACAUCACAGAGGACAGAUCAUUAAAAUCUGAUUGCAACUGAGUAUGUAGAUAGAAGUAUAUUUUGGGUUCUCCUCAUAUACUGAAUUUAACAUUUGCUGAAGAGCCAGACAAAGCAAACUGUGCUGAGCUCAAAAUAACUUGUCAGGCCCUUGAACAUUAGAAAAGACCAAGAAGAUCACAUAUCAAGAAGGUGAAAAGGCUACUACUGCAUAAUGAGACCAGAUGUUUGUGCUUCUUCUGGGGUAUAAGCAAUGAAUGCUUGCAAUAAAACUGAUUAAAUAAAACCUUUUGCAAAUUAGAUUUAGAUUCCUUUUUCUGUUGUGCAUGCAUGCGUGGAAGAGUUCGGAGAGAACCCCCUGGAAUGGAUAUGUCAUCUUGAACAACCUAACCGUUGAAUUAGAAUAACAAAGAUAACUGAUAAACUGUGAUACUAUAUUCUUAGAACAGCUACUGGAGAUGAUGAGAUGAUUCAUACCCUUGUAGCUCUUGUAGUUGAAACUGAUCUAACAGUGGAACUGCGCUUAGGUGCUACUGAGGAAAGUGGCUUCUUACUAGCAUCAGAAGAAGGGCCAUGUGGAGAUCCAGGAGGAGUUAGAAGCCUGUCCAUGCGGAAGUCAAAUCAACAGCUAAUUAGCUUUCAACAUUUUGCAAGACAUGUGCCAAAGUAGAAAUUCUGCUUGUAAUUGCAAACUAAGAGAAUCUGAAGGUAACAACAUUUAGCAUGUCAUUGGCUUCUGAUGCCCUACCAAAGAUGAUACAAAUGGGUUUUUGAUCUUCACCUACUAAAAAGAAAAGAUAAUUCAAAGAUAAAAGACACAGAGUAUAGGAUUUAUUGCAUGCUCAAAUAAUUCAAGACUUACUUGAAACCAAAUAAUCAACAAGGAGUUUUGGUUAUCUUUUGCUAGUAAGGUGUAAGCAUUUUUACUUUUUAUCUGUUUAUGGAAAAUAAAAGUCAAAGACUUGACCAUGUCUUUUAUUAUGAGAACAUUCCAGAGAGUAUAAAGACAUCCUUAUAAGUAUGGAAAGGAAACAUUUAUUGACAAUCCGUUGCUCCAUUUAGGGAGAGAUGAAUUUCCUCCCUAUCCUGAUCUAAAUUAACUCUUGCAUGUAUUAUCUAAGUUGCUAAGAAUUAUUAUGAAGCUUUGAAGGACAACUGCAGGCAAAGUAGGAAUCCUCAAGCCUACUCAACUUGUUGGAGUGUCUUACAAAAGAAAAUGUAGUUUUCAAAUGAAAAUCCUAUUUUACUUUAGAAAAAAGCAUUUUUCCCUUUUGAGUGCAAGAUAAAGUUUUGAGUUUGAUUUGAUUUGUGUUUCCUCUGACUUUCGAACAUUUGAGGCUUGUUCAAAACAUAACUUAUCCUAUCAAGUGCAUAGCAACUAAAGAAAUAUUGUACAUAUAGCAUGAUGGUCUGCCGCCAACUGUAAGUUGACAUAAAUCCUACUCCAUAGAGCUCUAGACAUUUGGAGAUGGCAAAUUGCUAUCUAAAUAGUUCACUUCAUACAAUAACUUUAGCAUUGCCCAUAACCAGUUAACAUCUCUCUACAAGUGAAGAUGGAUACAAAUAGACAACCUUUUUUGGGCAAUAGAAAUUGAUGGAAGAUGUAUAGCAUGACCUAGUGAUCGGAUGUAAAGUGGAAGCUUGAUGAGUUCAGAAAGAGCAUCAAGUUACACAAGAGAUGAUCAAUUAUCCUUUAUGAAUCAAAUAUAAGUUCAAUAAUUGAAGACAAUUUAACUAUGUCAGACUUCAAGAUUCUGUAUCUAAGGUUCUUGCAUCAAGACAUUUUUUGGGUAAGUUUGCAUUAAAUAGAGUAUCAGAAGCAAUCAUAAGGACAAAAAAAUCAUUAUAGGCAAGCAUUCUAAUAAAUUUAAAACGUUAAAUCUUCCCUGGAACAAAAAUUUUCACGCUUAAUGCGGCCUAAAGACUGAUCAAGAACAGCUAAGCUUUUCUAUUUUAAGCACAUGGGGAUAUACCCAACCAUUUUAUUGAAAAAAAUGAAGGAUUUAGUCAUGGUAUUUACCAAUCGUAAUCAUGCUUUCCAUUGUCAGCAUUGAGUAAAUCAUCCAUUCCGCUCCUCCCAAUCUUGGCUGAUCCAAUUGAUAGUCUCUCCAAUUUAACUUGUUCUGCAAAGAACAAUAAAUAGAGUCAGAAAAAAAGGACAAAUAAUCGAAUUCUCACAACUGAUGAGUAAUUCAGUCCUGCCGGCUCCCACAGAAAUCACAUCACAACUCGUGAUACAAAUAAAUAUUACGUCAAAAUUCUUCCAAACGGAAAUAGAUGUUUAAAUUAAAAAACUAAAAGCCCAAGGAUUACAAGAAGUAAAUGCCAUCGUUACAAGCACGUGAUAAAAACUACAAUAAACAGCAGAAACUUAGAUCACGAGAUUUUCACGAUAUACAAAUAAUUAUAAUUAAAACUUGAAACAUUUCUCAAAUAAAAGGGCUGUCAUAGAUCGAAUUAUUGAUAAAAGAAGAUAAAUUUAUGCAGUUUGCGCACGCUCUCAUUCAGGAGGCCAUUUCCGGAAACAUACCAUCCACAAAACAAUCCAAAUCCACAAAAGGCCAAAAAAGAAAGUUAAUAAUAAUAAAUCAGAAUAAAAUGGAGGAAAAAGAGGGAUCCACACCGUCCUGGCCGUCGGAUCCGUUGGCCGAUCCGAUCAGAGCGCCGCCGCCGCUUUUCAAGAACAGAUCCAAUUCCAAGCUCUCAUCCUCCCCCUUUCCGCCCAAGCUCCGCCGCCGGUCAUGCCCCCAUCCCCCCGGAAUAUUCCUCCGUUCCGACAGCGAUCCCCUCGCCACCCGAUUCAUCGGUUCCCCCACUCCCUCCCCGAUCCGAUCCGAGAGAGAAAUUUCUCCUCCCAAGAAAACGAUUAAAUGAGAAAUUUUUGUGGGGAGAGAGUAUAAAAGGAGUAGAUCGAGAGGGAAGCAACGGUUCCGCGCCUAUGCGGUAAUUAGCGACAUUUCGGGGAUCGAAAGCUGGUUAUUUGGUGCGGGAGUUCGCAUAUGCUUAUGUAGGGAUCUUGAGAACCUGAUGGCGUGCGAGAUGGACGGUGAUGGAAUCGUGUCGCAUAGUAAUUCUCCAGAUAUUGACGUAUUGAGGUUCGUAGGAUUCAUGGGUCUACCUGGGUUUAUUUCCUUAUAGCAUGAUGUGAGGUUUUUUGUCCAAGCUUCUGUCAUUAUAGUGUAUAUCUGUUCUAAAUUAUUGGACAAGGUUGGUACGAGGAAGGUGAAUGAUUUGAUCUCAUUUCCAAGUCUUCCGUAACUCUAGGAACAGAAUUACGGCCUAUAAGGAACAAUUUUUUUUCGCGCUAAAACAAAUAAACCAUACCUAACGAGUAUGGAUACAUUCAAUAAAAUCAAAAAAUAAAAUACCUCGAAGUGACAGAUACAACUUUUCAUCUUCAGCCCACAAGAUACUACCGAUUACCGAAGUAUCUGGCUACAUAAGCAGCCACAUAGUCUGCAGCUCUAUUAGCUUUAUAAAGAAUAUUAAUUGAAAGGCUGGGAUUUUUGUUUUUUUUUCUUUUCCUUGGUGAUCUUACUUUUUUUCUUUUUUUUUAAGAAGAAUGAUCGGUGUGCUGUUGGAGAGCUUAUUUUCUGGGUCGGUUGCCAAAUCUGACCAGUAACUAUGACAGCCGUUGGAUGUUAACUGGGCGGGUGUGAUAUUGUUGGGAUGUAAACUUUGGUCAAAUUCUUUUAGCAUUGACUUUCAGGACAUAUUACAAAAGCAUUUGAUUUUUUUAAUUUUUAAUGAAAGCAUCAUUCGUAUAUCCUAUGCUUUCUAUACUUGCAGGCACCUCUGACCUUAGCCUGGUCCAUUUAUAGCAAGAGAAACCAAGAUCUCCUAUUAUCUUAACCGGAGAAAAGAUAAAAAUAUUUUAAAUUAUAGUAAAAAAAUAUAAAAGCACCAUCUAAUAUAAAAAACACGAAGAUGAAACAAUAAAACUAUUUGAUUUUUGAUAAAUAUUUCAUUAAAAGUUGAAAAAGUGUGGCUAUAGCAUUAGUUCUGAUUUAAAAAAUAUCUUGAAAUGUAUCAAUUAAUCAAAUGAGACAAUAAGAGCAGGGGUUUUAGAUAUGUUAUUUUAAUGAUAUCUAAUGCUGAUGCAUAUAAUAUCUUGGUCAUGAUGAAAACAUUGCCUACACUUUUGUAGGGCCAUGAUAAGGUAUUUUACAUUAUAUAAAUUAAGCAUUUUAAGCUUUUAACUUUUUUUUUUUUAGGGUGUGGGGAGGGUAAUAUAAUGUUUAUAGGUGAUUUUGGUUUGCCUUGUCUCCCUAAAAACCAAAACAUUUCCAAUAAAAAAAAAACCUGACAUGUUAAUGCAGACUUAAAUCUAUGUAACCAGGAGGCUUCACCAAGAAACUAUGGAAGGAAGAAAAUCCAAGAGACAGUAAUUUAGUGGUUCAUGUCAGUAUUUGCCAUCAUCUAGUUUGUGUUUUAGAACCCAAGACUAACAGUUUGGUUGAAGUUAAUAAUCCAUACUUAUAUUACUUCUCAAAUAAUGGCCCGUACUUAAUUUGAAUAGUUUGGUCAUACCAAACGUUUAAAUUUAGAGAUGGUAGGUUGGUUGUGCAUGUCAUGUAGACAUCAUAGGUCCCAUCUAAUUGAGCCAUUGUAACUGAAACUACUCAAAAAGAAGAAAAAUAACCUAUUUCGCUGAGUAACACAGACUAACAAUUCAAGGAUUUGAGUUGUCUGGACACCUAAAAAUAUAAAUGUCAGCGAUAUCAUUAUUAUUUUUAAUUCAGAUACUAGUUAGAGAGACAUGAGUGCAAUAUCCCAACUCAAACUUGCGAGAAUACUGUACAAUAAAAUGACUGCAGUGACAUACUUAAAAAAGGAAAAUGGAAAAAAAAAGCUCUAUUUCAUGAUAGAAAUUCUAAUAUAAGAUUAACUAUUUGGGAUAUAUUUGGCAAGUUUUUUGUCAAAAUAUUUGGUCAAAAUGCGGACAUUUUUAUAAGAGUUUCCAUUAUAAUAGUAGAGUUGCGUCUUUCUAAUGUCAUGUAUUUGCAACUAACUAAAAGCAUACUGUUUUCUCUUACUUGGAACUUAUCACUAGCUUUAGUUUUAGGGCUUUGCUUGGCUAGAAAAUAAGAAAGAUAAGAACAGCAAGGUUGUGCCUACGAGAAUAGACAUCUUUGAGUUAUUCUAAUUCUUAUUUGACUGGAAUCUUUGAAAAUAACUUUUUUACAUGAGAAACUUUUUAUCAUAAAAACUAAAAAGUAGGCAAAAAUGAUGAUUUUAUUUCAAAAUUAAUCUAUGGGAUCUUCUCAUUUGGGAUAAUUGUGCCUAACAUAAAUAAAAAAAAACCAGUAUACCUGUUUUUCAUUUUAUGCCUGCAUUUCUUGUUUAAGUCUUAUGCCUGCUUUAUUUCCCGACAAAACAUCGCCUAAAUUAUUUACAAAACUCGGCAUCGUGUGAAUCCAGCAUUUCCCUUUUGGUCUAGCAUGGCACAAAUCUAUCAUUUCAAUCAACCUAAUGGCAUGGCCCCUGCCGUCUCCUUGCCGACAGGACCGGAGUGGCGGGAGGAGAAUAGAAUGAGAGCUGAGUCUUUUUUGGUGAGAAAUCCAAAUACCAAAUCUUCGGAAGGGGACAGAGCUCCUACUGAACUAUUUGCAAUAAUUGAACUGAAUAAAUUAACUCCGCUCCUCAACAAGAGAAGGGAUAAUCGCUUUGUUAUCGUCUAGCAUGAAAGGGAACUUUUUUUAAUGAAGAACGGGGUGGAGAACAAUCACAGGGAACUGUGACGUGGGCCAGGAGAAAGAGAAGGCUCACAGGAUUUGCACCAAACGAGCUAUUAUAUAUAUAGAGAGGUUGGUUCGGUUUUUAAUUGAAUUGAUGAAGUCUGCAUCCUUUUCUGCCAAGCCUCAACCACUGCCACCUUAUCUUGUCUCCUUAAUCUUGUAAGCUAUCCUACUCUUACAUAGUUUAUAUUUGGGAGAUUGAUUAUUUUUCAGGCAAACGUUCGGUCAUGCAUAUGAACAUACUCGUACUGAAUUUUCAGAGCUGAGUUGGGACAUUUGAUUAGGAAUUGGGCUUCUAAUUGGGAUGGAAGGCACCCCCCUCUAUCCCCCAAUCUGACAUGGUAAAUCCAUAGUCAAUGAUGGUGGAGAUGCCCUCACUUUCAGCUGUUUCUCAUCCAUGGGAGUUCAUAAAGGCAAUGCCGUAGAGCACAUUACCCGUUUCCCACAUUACCCGUAUCCAUGGUGAAAAAGUAAUCCCACAUUACCCGUAUCCUUCAAUCAAGCCAACAAUGAACACUAAAUGAAAAAUAAUCAUUUCAGUGCUCUGAAAGCAAUAGAACAUUGGAAUUCUGAUCGCCGUCUCAUUUGAGAUCGAGGCUGUAGAGCACAUUUGAAGAAUUUUAAGCUCCCUUACCAGUUAUAUCUAGAUCCUACACAAUUUAUAGACCACAUCCAGGACAAAUAAUAUGUAGGAAAAUUCUAGUCACAAAAGUAGAAAUAUGUUAACUCAAAACUCCUCAAACGCACUCCUUUCCCCAGUAUUAAACAAAAUUAGCACCAUUAAAGCUCGGGAAGCCAGUAUCCUCUGACAGUUUAGCUCCUCAUUUGUAGAAAUCAAAAUCUGUGUCUGGCUUCUUUACAUUGGUACGGUAGCCUUUCUCAAAGUCCUUGGGAAGAAUAACAUAUCGGUUCUUGCGAACAGCAUGCAUACCCGCCUCCUGGCAAAUGGCAGCAAUCUGCAAAACAAUUCAUGAAAGAUGGUCACUUUGGUCAAGCUACACUUUAUAUGGAACAGUUCUACUGUUAAAUGAUGCGAUACAAGGAGGGCUGAAAUGCAAAACUACAGUCCAAGAAAAGUUUAUAGGUCAAACUACACUAAAGUUUCUAGGGUCAAACUAUGCUAUGAUAUUGUAAAGCCCAACCCCCCACCCCAAAAAAAAUGAAAAAGACAAAAAUAAAAAAAAACACUCCCGAUGUUAGAAAAGCUUUUGCAGGUGGAAAAGAAAUUGAGUGCACCGGUUAUUACGUCAAUAAUGGUUAUACACUCAAGCGACGUUAGUAUAAGUUGGAUUAGCAUUAUUAUUACACAUGCAAGUUGAAACGAUCAAGGAGAUGGGCACAGACGUUCCACAAGGGGCAUGCUGUAGGCCACACUCCAUGAUAAAAACAACUCAAGAUUUGUUAUAUGGUGUAUAGAUAAAUGCUUGAAAUGAUUAUUAGAAAGUCAACUCAUUACACUAAAUAGGCGAGAACACAAAUAACUAGGAAGGAAAUGUUAGCAAGAAGUUUCAUAACCAUUGAAAUGAGUAAGGUUUUAAUUCUCAGUCUCAAUUAGAACAAAACUAACUCUCAGUUUCUGGCUUCAAUCAGUUUCAGCCAAAACUGAUUAAUUUUUAUCUAGUUUUGGUGGUUAUUUUCAGUUUAAACUAAUCGAAACUAACCAUCACCUCUUUUUUAGAGUUUUAUUUUGGUCUGUACUAUCACAUUGGGGUUAUUUCUUUAUUUCUUUAAUCACAUAGGCUAUAUAAUUUCAGUUUUUGCUAAUUAUCCUUGUUUUGCUGAGUAAAAAAAGAUGGGAUAGAUGAUGAACAUAAUCCUUGAUAGGCCAAGGCCUCCAAAAAGCGAUUUACAAAGACUGAUGCAAACAACUAAAUAAACGAUCAAUCUUUAUAGUAAUGGCAUUUUUCAUAUAAAAUAAAUAUAACAUUCUACAACUACAUGUAUUUAAUUAACAGUCACUUAACCAUGGAAAUAUAAGAAAGAAGUGCCCAAAUUUAACAUAUUUGUGAAUUUUACUAAACAUGGUGAAACAAUUAAUUGCACCAGGCACUGAAACGUUCCAGAAUUGCUAAAUAUAAUGAAAUUUUGUAAGUAAUAUAAAUUAGUGGUACAAAUUAUUACCCCUUAUGAGUUUUACUUACAUGCAAAAGUAGCUUGAGCCCAAAAUUGUUGAAACUACACAAAUAAAGAACUUAUGUAUCACAAAAUACUCUAAAAUGCCGUGUGCAAUCUUUCUUUUUUUCUUUUAUUUUUCUUCUACUUUUUCAGAUGUGUCAAUGUUUUCCCUGAUUUUUAUGAUCAAAACUCUGAAACUUGGAAAGGAACUGCCAAAACUGAAACUCCACAAGCCCAACUGAAUCUAAAGUUCAAACUCCGACGAAAGUUGCAGUCCAUUAUCAUGUCUAAAACAUAUCAGCUAUUUGAAAACACAGCUCAUGUGCUUGAAGGAAAAAUAACAGCCUAAUAAUUGGAUCACUGAGACUUCUAGACAAUCAAUCAGACGUCAAUUUAAAGUGGUUAAUCUCAGCUUCAUCUGAAUCCGGAAAUUUUAACACAAAAAAAGGUAAAAUAAAUGGAAAAGGAAUUCCAGAAUGAAUAAAUUUAAAAUAACUAACCUCAGCAGCACUAAUUUUAUCUGGUCGAGAAACAUAGUCUUCCAAGUCAACCUCAUCACUGAGAUUCAUUUUAGCAGUGCAGACCUGAAUAAAGACGAAGCACAAAGCACGAGACACAUUCAAUAAAAGAAGUGUAGAAAAAUAGCACAGAAAAUAAUGUCAUUAUGCCUACUUAACCAUUAGUAUAGAAUUAACAAAGCCAUUUAAAAGAUAAUAAGCAAUAUUAGUAAUCUAUAGUGAAAUUUUACUCAUAUGGGAAAUAAUCUUCUCAACUUUGCCUCUUUCUACAAUUUAUUGAUCUUUCCAAUGAUUUUUUUCUGUAAACAAAUUUUCUAAUUUUUGCCUUUUCUUUUUGGGUAAGAUCUAAUGUUUUAUUGCGCUAUAUUCUUGAGCAAUAGUUGCCUAUUUGAAAAACAAGUGCAGAAAGUGGGAAACAAAUACAAAGAGACAUAAGUUAACAAUUGUAGCAUUUGUGUACCUAGAUAUGGUCUCUCUCUAUCUAUCUAUCUCAAUCUCUCCCCUCUCUGUGUGCAUGUGUCCACAUGUCUGUGUCCGUGUUUGUGUGUGCGUGCUUGGAGAAAAAGAGAGGUAAGACAACGCAAGAAAGAUACAAGUUAAGCUUGAAAAAAGAGGAGCGAGAGACUAGGAGGUAAGAGGGAGGUUCACCAAGAUAUAGCAAUGAAAUGUUAAAACUCAAAAUUUCUCUAGCAAGAUCAUCAAUGAUACUUCAGAUUGAUGAGAGCAUCCCUCGUGUUUUUAUCAACCAAGGACAUGCCGCAAUAAGAAAAAUCAACUGUCAGAUAUUUAUGACAUCUAGAUGUAUGCAAAGUCAGCAUAAUAAAAUAAUCAAUGCCCGUCCAUACCAUUAAAAGCCUGCGAUUUGUAAAGCUGUGUACGGAUUGUUAUGCAUAUUCCCGGUUCUAUUGACGCAAUUGGAUAACUUCCAAUUUAUUUGUUGUUUGUUAUAUUGAACCAGUGCAUUUUAACAUCAAUUAAAGCUUAAAUUAUGAAUUUUAAUGAUAUUUUGGAUCGCUUUUUGCAGAUCUUACUUGAAAAACUAGCCGCUUUUGCCGUCUGUCAGGCAAAGGAAAUUCAAUUUUCCGAUCAAGUCUACCCGGGCGCAGAAGGGCAGGGUCUAGGGUGUCAGCUCGAUUUGUUGCCAUUAUAACCUUUACAUUCACAGUUUGAUCGAAACCAUCCAUCUGCAAAACCAAUCACGACAAAUACGUCACAUAAUUAAUCCAUGACAAUGAAAAUGGGCAAGAUAUGAGCAAGCAUACAUGUUGGUGACAAGCAUACACAUUGUUAAUCAGUGAAAAAAAAGUUACGGAGUGCAAGUUUUCCUCUAAUCCACGACAUGGCUUCAAUGGGAACAAGCCAAAAGACUAAGCAUAUCUAGAACUACACUUAUUGCCUAAAUUCCUUGGCCACUUCAGGGUCCCACCCUAAGAUAACCACUAGAUGGUCUUUGGAGCCAAAAAAGAACCAAAAAAUGUUGCACACAGAACUUGAUAGGAGUCAAAAAAUGCCACAUCGACUUGAUGAUUUAUCCAAAGCAGGGUAAUCUCAAUCAGGUGGUCCAAGAAAGAAAGGUUGUACACCAGCAGAAGCAGCUAGCAGCAAACAGCAAAACUAAAUGAGGGAAUUCUUUAUAUAUUUAACUUGGAUAGCAUUUCAGUUUGGUUGAACUUAUUAGAGUUCUCUUCAAUUUCUGAGACCUUUUACUCUUUCAAACAAGUGGAAAGGGAUUAAUUCAUCAAAAAAGAGAAAACGAAAGGACAAACUGGUGCCUCCAAUAUCUUACUUAGUUCUACCUGAUUCAGAAGUUCCAUGAGGAUACGCUGCACUUCCCUAUCAGCACCAGUUUGUGCAUCAAAUCGUGCCGUAGCUAUAGCAUCAACCUCAUCAAUAAAUAUGAUUGCAGGGGCAUUCUCUUUAGCAAGUCGGAAAACAUCCCGAACCAUUCGUGGACCCUGAAUAAAAAAAUGCAAUAAACAAGAUGCUUGAAAAUUGAAAUAUAGCAGAGGAAUUCAGGAAUAAUAAUGACAACUUCUGACCAAAUUUAUAUUCUUCAUGAAAUUGAGCACAACGAGCAAUCUUCUUAUGAAAAAUGAAGAAAAUCUAAGCAUAAGUGGUAGAAAAUUGUUACUGCAUGUACCCUUUAAACUUUGUCCUUGUAAGGAUACAAAUGAAACAACGGAUACAACUUGUCGGCAAAAAAAAAACAUGAAAAUUAUCUUGACACAUUUAGAACCUAUAUUUACACCAUCUGUUAAGGAAACAAAAGAUCACUAAGCAGAUUUAUCAUUUUUUAAAAUAUAAAUGUGACCAAACCAGUUUCUAUGAGAAUGUCUUAACCUAGAUGAACAUAACAGAGAAAAGGAAAAGGAUACGCAAUGGAUGUGGGUGGUGCAUUCAGAUAUAUCUAAGAAACCGUACCUCACCCAAAUACUUCUGAACAAAUUCUGACCCAACAACUCUUAUAAAAGCUGCAGUUGUAUGAUUAGCCACAGCCUUGGCAAGCAUGGUUUUACCAGUUCCAGGAGGGCCAUAGAGAAGCACGCCUCUUGGAGGAUCUAUACCAAUCUGUUUGUAUAACUCAUGAUGUGUCAGAGGCAACUCAACAGCUUCACGAAUUUCCUGCUUCUGAAUAUCACAACCCCCAAUAUCCUGAGCAGAUAAAAGGACGAUAAUUCAGCAAAUUAUAACAGUUAACCUGUAACUAUUAACUGGUAUCAACAGAAUGCAGAAUGCCAAUGGUUCAAUAAAAUUAUCAAAUAAAUUACAAGAUGGUUAAUAGAUUACUAAAUGAAGUGGUAAAAGUCAACAUAUUUCAUUUCCUAGAUUCAUUGAUAGAUUUUCAACCUUUUAGUUAAAGUGAUUAAAAGAAUGAGUUAAAUAAAGGGAUGAAACAAAAUGCAUGACGAUAUUCACCAUUCCAAGGUUGCAUGAGCACCAAAGAGUGAAAAGACAAGGAACAAACACAAAG
rnacentral:lncRNA from 1 species